rnacentral:lncRNA from 1 species
UGACAACACAUAAUAGCCAUGUGAGAGAAGAGAAAGGGCCAUGUGAUGUAUUUGUCCAGGGAUAGAGACAGGUGGAAUGAACUGAUGUAUUUUCUGCAUGUACAUUUGGUAGAGGGAGCAAGAUACUUUUUUAAAAUAGGAGCUGUGACUUCACAGAAUUUUUUUUUUUUUCUUCAUAUUUGGUUACGCAUUUCCCAUUAAUUAAAGAGAGUGUAUAGAUCAACAUUUUGAAUUAAUUAUAAAGAUAAUGCAUUUAAAAAUUGGACAAGGAGAGGUAAACCCCACAAACAAAGCUUCAUCUAAAUGAAGUUGUUAUGGUGCCAGGAGCACCCCAGGUGCUGUACGUUAAAUGGACAAUAUAGGCACUAAAAUAAAUUUAGUUUAAUGAUGCAGUUUAUGUGUAUAGACCAUGCCCCUGCAGUCUCAACGCUCAACUCAAUGCAAUUUAGGAGUUAAAUCACUUUCAUUUUAAUCUCAUGCAGCCCCAGUCACACUUCCCUGCAUGUGAUUUGCACAGCCUUCAUAAACACUCCCUGAAACAUUACCUAGAUAUUGUAGGUCCCUGUAUUGCACAUUCUGUUUAAUUUAGAAUUUCCUGCUCUGUCAAUAGCCUCAUAGACCCUGCAGAAGUCUCCUGUGUGUGAUUAAAGUUCACUUUACUGAGCAGGAGGUAAAAACAAAAAAAUGUUAAAGCAGGUUAACAUCUGAUAAUCUGAAAAUGAAACCAUAUUUCCAUGCAGGCUGUGUGAGUCACAGCCAGGGGUGGACUGUCUAGGGCUGCAUAAACAGACAUAAAUGGCAGAUAAUUGAGCGGUUAGACUGCAGGGGCAUGAUCUACAGUCAUGGGGAAAAGAAAGUACACCCUCUUUGGUUUUACAUAUUAGGACAUAACAAUCAUCUGUUCCUUAGCAGGUCUUAAAAUUAGGUAAAUGAAACCUCGGAUGAACAACAAAUGACAUAUUACACUGUGUCAUGAUUUUAUUUAACAAAAAUAAACCCAACAUGGAGAAGCCAUGUAAAAAACUAAGUACACCUUAUAAUUCAAUAACUUGUAGAACCACCUGUAGCAGCAAUAACUUUGAAGAAAUAAUUUUCUGUAUGAGUUUAUCAAACUCUUACAUUGUUGUGGAGGAAUUUUGGCCCACAGUUCUUUACAAUGUUGCUUCAGUUCAUUGAGGCUUGCUGGCAUUUGUUUAUGCACAGCUCUCUUAUGUUCCUGCCACAACACUUCUAACGGGUUGAGGUCUAGAUUUUGUAACACCUCGAUGCUUUUCUCUUGCAGCCAUAAUGUUGUAGAUUUUCUGUUGUGCUUCGGAUUAUUGUCCUGUUGCGUGACCCAAUUAUGGCCAAGCUUGAGUUGUCGAACACAUGGCUUCACAUUUGACUCGUAAAAACAUAGAAUGUGACAGCAGAUAAGAACCAUUCAGCCUAUCUAGUCUGCCCAAUUCUCUAAAUACUUUCAUUAGUCCCUGGCCUUAUCUUAUUUUAGCAUAGCCUUAUACCUAUCCCACGCAUGCCUGAACUCCUUUACUGUGUUAAACUCUACCACUUCAGCUGGAAGGCUAUUCCAGACGCAUGCAGGCACAGCUCCCACUCUGCACGACACUCAAACCGACUAAGAGAUGAUUUACAGACUAGAAACUAUACAAAACGAGCUACCGGCACAAAGGUGAAGUGAAGCUGAAUCUUCUGAUACCACACACAAAGCUAUUGCAGCUGAGGCCUAGCAUGACAAGCAACCUGAUUGCUGGGGGAGGCGGCCGACCUCCCGACACAGGGCCAGCACCACAUGGCAGCUCUCUUGUUCCCCUCAACCCCCCCCCCAUGGACCGGUGGGGGAUAUCCCGGUCCACGCUGGAAACACAUUCUCUCCUGACAAGGGGAAAAUCACUGUCUAAUGUUAAGCCACGCAAGGCGCCAAAGAUGGCCGCCAUGCAACACGCGGAGCAAACCACGGAGGAUCCGGGGCUCCAGCAAUGGAGACGGCGUUUUGAGGCCAGGUUCAAUCAAAUUUGCCAAGCAUUCUGGAGAAGCCUACAGCAAAGGCCCCCAUCGCAAGUCUCAUACAGCAGGAGAAAGUACCGGCGGCGGUCUGUCCGCCCCACUCCAGGCGAGGGACCCACGCUGGGGCGCUCCCACUCCGACGUCCUUCCAGCCGGAAGACUCCUCACAAGUCAACUUGCCCCAAGAACCUGGCAUACGCUGCACUUCAAUCACCCAGGCGACACUUCACAAAGCAGCGGACAAAUAGGAAGCAGCGGAGAGUUGCCGGUUACAACCAGCAAAGAAAUCUAUACUACAGACUUACCUCUGACCACUCAGACCAAGCGGAGGUCCACCGUAGAGACCCGAGCGGCAACUCCCAUCAAUGGGCCACCCAUCAAGCGCAGGGACCCGCCACAGAGGAGAACAGAGAAGCCGCCUAACUCUUCACAUGCCCUAAGAGCUUCCCCAGUCAGGGGAUUGGCUGAGUCAGGCUAUCCAAGGACAGCGGACUGUGUUACCUAGCUACGAAUCCGCCAUGAUCUCGAUGGACACCAUCUUACCUUAAACACUUUACCCAGCCGUAAGGACUAAAACCGUAUUCCAGCGGUCACCUUACUCAGUAAGCGCAGACAGUAUGUCUCAACUCGUAUUCUUAAAGCAUGCUGUUAACCCUGUUUUUACUUACCACUCAAAUGUCUAGCCAACCCACACUGAAAGUAGAAUCUAGAGUAAUAUAACGUAGAGCCUAGAGCUGAAAUAUAUUACCUAUGUUUUUCUUCUUUUUUUUUUUUUUUAAUUCUUUAUUUUUCUUUGUGCAUGGAGUAACAAAUCAUUUGUAAAUGCCACAGCAGCAUAUUUAAAACAUGUGAACACAGUAGCUGUACAUUUAUGGCAUAAGAGUAUCAGCACAAUUUUUAAUUGUUGAGUUAAGAACAAGCUAAGCGUAAUGCAAGAUUAACCCACGUUUGUUAGUAGCAGGAGUAUUUGCACAUUCGUAGAGUAUUAACCAGCUUAAUUAGAUGAUUAUACUGUCAGAAUAGAUAUAUGUAAGACAAUUGAGAAUAAGUAAUGCUUAACAGUUAUAGGUUAACUACGUUAGUACCAGUGAGAUGUGGUAACAUGCUUUCAUGUUUCAGGGUUAGGAUACGUUGAGGCUCUGACACAUAAAGAUUUAUAAAGCAUGAGAACAUAUAUGUUAAAGUAGGCCGCUGAUCACUAGCUAUGCAUAUUGGGUAAAUCUGUAAACAGGUAGAUCUGAGCAAAUGAAUAUCAUAAGUUAUAGUUACAAAUAACACCAGGAUAUUCAUGCUUAUAUAUCGUAUGGUCCUGUUAGGGAGUAGUAUUCAGAGUAGUGAGAGAGAUGGGAAAACAUGACUGGUAUAAUUUUUACUUUAGCACGACUGUAUAAUAGGUACAUGUUAAGUAAGUCAGUGCCCUCGUUGGUGUUGUUUAAAGAUCCCCUGUUACCCGGGGAGGGGGGGAGAUUUCGAAUGGCUUUACAUAAGUGGCUAUAACGUGCCCUUGGUUGCCAGCACUAGUGUGAGUUCUGCCAUAAAAUGUCGGCAUUAAAAUUUUAACAUAUAUACAUCGUAACUGGUUCGUGAGUCCAGGGGGUGCAGCGGGUGAUGCUGUUUAAAGUAAACUGGUCUGGAUACUAGGUAGCUUCAAGACUGCGUCAGGCGUUGGUUGCCGCGGUGAUCGCUGUUUCGGCUCUUCUAGGGACGAAUGGGAUCGCUGUUGCGGGAUUCCAAGCGGUGCUGUGUGCCAGCGUGGUUCUGUUCUCCGGUGGAGGAUGAGCGAGCGGGGGAAGUCCCAGGGUCGGUAGCAGUUCAUUUGCCUCUUGUAAGUCCUGGAUGGUAGAGGUCGCAUUCCCGUGGUGGAUUAACAGUGUGCGCGAACCUCUCCAAUGGUAGGUGAUUUUAUGUUGGCGUAGGAGGGCUGUAAAGGGUUGAAGUGUGCGUCUCCACGCCAGGGUGGGCCCCGACAAGUCCGCGUAAAAAGAUAGCUGCAUAUUUUCAAACGGAUACGGUGAUUGGUUCCGCGUAGCCUGCAUUACCGCCACCUUGUCUCCGUGAUUUUGGAAGCAAGCCAGGAGGUCUCGUGGGGCCUUUGGUGGGGCCUUGGCUGCUCGUGGUAGGCGAAAUACAUUUUCGAUGGGUACCUGUCUGGCUUGCUUGUGAUGUAAAAGUGACUGCAUUAGUCUCCGCAAUGUGUGUGGGAGUUCAUACUCCGGUAUCUCCUCUCCUAUGCCUCGGAUUUUUAUGUUCCGGCAGCGACUCAGAUCCUCUAAGGCUGCUAUGCGCUGCUCGUAUGUGGAUUGCUGUAAUUUGAUCUCCUGGACCGUUUGUUGUAGGGCUUGAGUGUGUUGUUUGGUGCACUGGGAGUCUGCCUCCAGUGUGCCCAGCCGGCCCGUUAGGCCUUGUAGGUCCUUGCGCAGUUGGGCCAUGUCGGCCUGUAUGGUUAGUCGGAGAUCUGCUAGGAGGUCUUUCAUGACAGUAACGGUCACUGGUGAGGAGUCUGCUUGCGGGGGUGACUUGCAAGGUGGUAUUUCCUCAUGUGGGUGCUCCAUCUCAGUCUCUGUGGUGAAAUCAUCACAGAUAUCCGAGCCGUAGUCGUUGUAAGCGGCCAUGUUGGGGCCUUGGGCGCUAAGCGCCAGCUUCCACAUGUCGCCAAUGCUGUGGUGCUGCCGCGGGUUGUCGGGCUUAGAUUUUUUAGUUUUGCGGCCCAUAUCGUUGGUAGAUGCCUGCAGGUCGUUUUGGCACCGGUUUCGUUGGGCUGGGUUCGUGUUAGCUGGUCCAAACUACUCUUUUGCAGCGGAGCUCGCUUGGCAUGCGGCCAUUCAGGUCAGUUGCUUGGCUCCGCCCCCCGUUUUUCUUCUUUUUGUUCCUUCUUGGUGUUGCAUGACGUUCAUGCCAUGUAUAGCCUAACCCUGCUUAAGCAUCCUUAGCACCUACUGUUUAUUUUAAAUACUCUAACAUAAAGAGAGGAUUGUGUAAUCUCGUGGUUUUGGACAGCAUGUUCACCAAGUAACAAACUAUUACUGGGUUUUCAGCCCUCUUCUAUGCUAUUUGCAUCCUGAGCUAUGUCAGCACACUGAAUACUCAUACUCACGUUAUUUAACUUACUUUAGCACGGAGCAAGUGGCAUUUUUGUUAAUUUCUUUUGUUCAUUUUGAAGUAAUAAUCUCUACCCGGUGUCACUGCUAGCUAGGUGUGUUUGGGCAUUGGGAGAUAAAUCGAAGUGCAUGCACCCGCUUGUAGAUAUAUUUUGAGAUGGGAAAUACCUGUUAACCUGUGCACCUGAAGAAUGUUGGUGCUACUUCUAAGUGCUGUUUCUAAGUGUGUAGUUGGAGAUAUUCAGGAGAGUUUUACAGAAGCUUCAACUGUCUAAGAGUUGUGCUAAGAGCUUUCUUUUCUACUGUUACAGGUAAGAUUCAUCUGUAGGAAAAGGUUACUGAUUGCCCAAGGUUUGAAUUCCUGUUGGUAAUUAUAAGGCAUUUGAUUUGAUUAAGCUAGUUACUUGCUGUUGAUUGCUGGUUAAUUAGCUAUUGUUUGCAAAUAAGCAGAGGCCUACCCAGGUGUUAAACAUUCCUAGUGGGCGGUGAUUUAAGGAGUUAUAUAAGGCUUGGUCUCAUUAGCUUGUCUAAUAUAGCUUGGUGCUACUUCCAAGUGCUGUUUCUAAGUGUCUAGUUGGAGAUAUUCUGGAGAUAACCUGGAGGUAAUCUGAGGUAUUCAGGAGGAUAAAGAAAAAAGUUAAGAUUUGUUAGAUUUAAAUUAUUCUCAUAAUUGGAAUGGCAGGCUUAGUUCAGUGUAACAAUUGCUAUGCAUUUGUUUCACGUUCCACUUUUUGGAGGUUUGGUUGUUGUCUAAUCUGUAGACAGUUCUCUAUCUUGCGGCAGGAGAUUGUAUUUUUGAAGUCUGAGAUUUGUAAAUUAUCUGGUGUAGAAACUCAGACUGGAACUGCUGCAAAGCCACUGCCGCAGAGACAUGCUAGGAAAGGCAGAUGGAUUACUGUAGGAUCUGGUAGACUUAGAGUUGUGGAUAAAAGGCAUUUUGCACAGUCUGUUGCUCUUCAUAAUUCAUUUUCUGCACUUUCAGAGUGUAAUGGUGUUGUGGAGAGAGGCACUGAGGCUAGUGGUGUUGUGGAGAGAGGCACUGAGGCUAGUGGUGUUGUGAGAGAGGCACUAAGACUAGUGGUGUUGUGGAGAGAGGCACUGAGGCUAGUGGUGUUGUGGAGAGAGGCACUGAGGCUAGUGGUGUUGUGGAGAGAGGCACUGAGGCUAGUGGUGUUGUGGAGAGAGGCACUGAGGCUAGUGGUGUUGUGGAGAGAGGCACUGAGGCUAGUGGUGUUGUGGAGAGAGGCACUGAGGCUAGUGGUGUUGUGGAGAGAGACACUGAGGCUAGUGGUGUUGUGGAGAGAGGCACUGAGACUAGUGGUGUUGUGGAGACCGGCUUGGAGACUAUGGUGAGGCCUAAUAGAAAGCAGUUGUUGUUGGGUGAUUCCAUUAUAAGAGUUGUGGAGAUGGACAAUGGUGGUCUUGUGAGGUGUCUUCCCGGAGCUACUGCUCACAGAGACAGGAGACGUAUCUGUAAUAUUGUUAAGCAAGCAAAGCAGGAAGGGGAAUUGGAUGUACUUGUCCAUCUAGGGACAAAUGACUUGGCUUGCAAUGAGGUUUCAGAGGUUAAGGAAGUUUUAGUGUUUUUGCCAAUGAUAUACGGCAGGUUGCUUCCACACUGUCAUUCUCUGAAGUUCUGCCUGUGCAUAACACUCAGAACGACAGGCAGAUGCGUAUUAGGGACUUUAACUUGUGGCUUGGUGAAUGGUGUCGGGAGCAAGGAUUUGGCUUUAUUUCUCAUGGUAGCUCUGUUUGGAAUGGAAAUAAACCGUACAAAAAAGAUGGUUUGCAUCUUUCUCAAAAGGGAACAAAUGUUCUCAGUGAGCAGUUCAGAGGUUUUGCUAGGAUGUAUUUAAACUAGGAGGGGGGGGCAAAAGGGUGAUAAAACAUCAAUCCAAUUGUCCCCAAAAACAAGGACAGAAGGUGCCUGUAGCAAGUGUGUUAAAAAAUGAUAAGCUAAGAGUCAUGUCUACAAAUGCUCGCAGUUUAGGGAAUAAGAUCCAUGAACUUGUGGCAAUAAUGGCAACUGAUAGUGUAGAUUUAGUCGCUGUUACCGAGACAUGGUACAAUGAGAAAAAUGACUGGGACAUAGCAAUACCAGGGUACUCUUUAUAUAGGAAAGAUAGGGAAGGCAAGAAAGGGGAGGGGUGGCCUUGUAUGUGAAGGAUAGCAUAAAAUCUAGCCUAAUAAAAGUUAGUGAGGCAAACAUAGAGUCCGUUUGGGCUACGCUAGAAUUUGGUAAUCACACAGUAACUCGUGUAGGUGUGAUUUAUAGGCCCCCAGGACAAAUUGAAGAGUUAGAUAAUCUACUAGUUGAGGAAAUAGCUAAAAUGACAAUGAAGGGGGAAGUUAUCAUCAUGGGUGACUUUAAUCUUCCUGAUGCAAAUUGGAAAACAAAAUUAGCUACUUGUGCCAGGAGCACACAUAUUCUAAACUCCCUACUGGGAUUGUCUCUAAAACAAGUUGUUGAGGAGCCAACUCGUAAAGAGGCCAUACUAGAUUUAGUGUUAACAAAUGGAGAUUUGGUAUCAGAUGUUACUGUAGGUGAAAGUUUAGGAUCCAGUGAUCAUCAGUCAGUGUGGUUUAAUAUAAGAACAGUGACUGAGUCACACCACACAAAAACAAAAGUUUUAGACUUUAGAAAACAGACUUUUCUAAAAUUAGAAUAUGGGUAGAGGAGUCAUUAUCAGACUGGAGCAAUUUAAAUGGAGUCCAAGAAAAAUGGGAUUAUUUAAAAGUUGCACUAUUGAAGGCAACAGAAAAUUGCAUUAGGCUUGUCAGUAAAAGCAAAAAAUUCAAGAAACCACUGUGGUACUCCGCAGAUGUGGCCAAAAUAGUUAAAAACAAAAAGUUAGCAUUUAGGAAUUAUAAAAAAACCCAGAGUGAGGAAGACAAAAUGAUCUAUAAGAUUAGGCAGAAAGAGGCUAAGCAAGUUAUAAGAGCUUCCAAAUCACACACAGAAGAGAAAAUAGCACAGUCAGUAAAAAAGGGGGAUAAAACAUUUUUUAGAUACAUAAAUGAGAAAAGAAAAGUAAAACAAGGAUUAGUUAGAUUAAAAACAAAAGAAGGAAGGUAUGUAGAAGAGGAUAAAGGUCAGGCUGACUGCCUCAAUGAAUAUUUUUGUUCUGUAUUUACAGAAGAAAAUGAAGGAAAGGGACCUCAGUUGAGAAAAAGGAUAAAUGAGUCAUUUAUUACACGUCAGUUUACAGAGGAAGAGGUUCUAUUUCAACUGUCAAAAGUAAAGACAAAUAAGUCAAUGGGACCUGAUGGAAUACACCAAAGCUAUUAAAAGAGCUUAGUGGUGUACUAGCAAAACCAUUAACAGAUUUAUUUAACCAAUCAUUGUUAACAGGAGUAGUCCCAGAAGAUUGGAAGUUAGCGAAUGUUGUGCCCAUUUACAAGAAAGGUAAUAGGGAGGAGUCGGGCAACUAUAGGCCAGUAAGCCUUACUUCAGUAGUGGGGAAAGUGAUGGAAACCAUGUUAAAGGAUAGGAUUGAUGAACAUCUAAAACACAUGGAUUUCAAGAUCAGAGACAACAUGGGUUUACUUCAGGGAGAUCAUGCCAAACUAAUCUUAUUGAUUUUUUUGAUUGGGUAACUAAAAUUAUAGAUCAGGGUGGUGCAGUAGACAUUGCUUACCUAGAUUUCAGUAAGGCUUUUGACACUGUUGCACAUAGAAGGCUUAUCAAUAAACUGCAAUCUUUAAGUUUGGAUUCCAAUAUUGUUGAAUGGGUAAGGCAGUGGCUGAGUGACAGGCAACAGAGGGUUGUAGUUAAUGGAAUAUAUUCGAAGCUUGGACUUGUCACCAGUGGGGUACCUCAGGGAUCUGUACUUGGACCCAUUCUCUUUAAUAUUUUUAUUAGUGAUAUUGCAGAAGGUCUUGAUGGUAAGGUAUGUCUUUUUGCUGAUGAUACUAAGAUAUGUAACAGGGUUGAUGUUCCAGGAGGGAUAAGCCAAAUGGCAAAUGAUUUAGGUAAACUAGAAAAAUGGUCAGAAUUGUGGCAACUGACAUUUAAUGUGGAUAAGUGCAAGAUAAUGCAUCUUGGACGUAAAAACCCAAGGGCAGAGUACAGAAUAUUUGAUAGAGUCCUAACCUCAACAUAUGAGGAAAGGGAUUUAGGGGUGAUUAUUUCUGAUGACUUAAAGGUAGGCAGACAAUGUAAUAGAGCAGCAGGAAAUGCUAGCAGAAUGCUUGGUUGUAUAGGGAGAGGUAUUAGCAGUAGAAAGAGGGAAGUGCUCAUGCCAUUGUACAGAACACUGGUGAGACCUCACUUGGAGUAUUGUACACAGUACUGGAGACCGUAUCUUCAGAAGGAUAUUGAUACCUUAGAGAGGGUUCAGAGAAGGGCUACUAAACUGGUUCAUGGAUUGCGGGAUAAAACUUACCAGGAAAGGUUAAAGGAUCUUAACAUGUAUAGCUUGGAGGAAAGGCGAGACAGGGGGGAUAUGAUAGAAACAUUUAAAUAUAUAAAGGGAAUCAACACAGUAAAGGAGGAGACUAUAUUUAAAAGAAGAGUAACUACCACAACAAGAGGACAUAGUCUUAAAUUAGAGGGACAAAGGUUUAAAAAUAAUAUCAGGAAGUAUUACUUUACUGAGAGGGUAGUGGAUGCAUGGAAUAGCCUUCCAGCUGAAGUGGUAGAGGUUAACACAGUAAAGGAGUUUAAGCAUGCGUGGGAUAGGCAUAAGGCUAUCCUAACUAUAAGAUAAGGCUAGGGACUAAUGAAAGUAUUUAGAAAAUUGGGCAGACUAGAUGGGCCGAAUGGUUCUUAUCUGCCGUCACAUUCUAUGUUUCUAUGUUUCUAUGUUUAAUCUAUGCCUUGCCACCUUACCAUAUAUUCCUACGUAGAUCUGGCAUUUUUAUUAUAAUGUAAAUAUGUACAGCUGUAUCAAAUGCCAUACAAUUGUCUAUUUUGAAAUGCUUGCAUUAGCUAUUGUGAGCUUGAUGUGUUUUGUUUUUUUUACUCUACAAAAAUAAAGAAUUAAAAAAAAAAAAGUUUUACCUCUAAGCACACCCUUUCCGUCACUCAGUCGACUUCUACAUCAAGGUCUCCACACACCAGUUCCACACAGGUCUGGUCACACUCCUGUCAGGUUUUCACAAGUGUCAGAACCUUCAGUCCGCAUUAAUAGACCCCUCAACACAAUCACGUUGCUUAAGAAGGUAUUUGACAACCAUAUUAAUUACCCUCCCCUAGCCUCAACUCAUUGAUUUCCUCUAAGGAAUUCUCCCAGCACUAUGCCAAAGGGGUUGACCGGAGCUUGGGUGGGCAAGACAGAUAUUUCCUAUGCCUCCAAGCUUCUACCUAUUCAGCCAUCCCGAGGGCAUGUUCGUGGCAUUUUAUGGAGGGAUUGUCAUGACUUUCCACAUGUGUAACUUUUAGAGCAAAGAGUAACCCCAAGCUGUUUGUCUUAUUUGCUAACACACUAUGUUGACUAACACUCAAUAUUAGCAAAUGUCCUGCAGUCACCCAUUAUCUUAGAUAACUUCCUCGCGAUAGAACGCCCUCACUCUGCUCUGGUUAGUAUUCACAAGACGAUGGCACUUUUCCUCACUAUGGGUUCCACUUUCACAAACUGACCUUCUUAGGCAUUCAUCUUGACACUAAUACGCUACAGAACAUGUCCACCUACAGAGAAGGUACAGCGCAUUGGAGUCCUGAGAACCUUUCCUUCUGAAGAACACGCGGGAGGGAGGCAGGGGAGAAUGGAUAUACAGUCCUACUGGGCACAUUGAAGUUCUCCAUGAGAAUUAUUCUGCACAUUUAUUUCCCGACCGCUGAGUCUUCUUCCCACCGAAAGUUGCAUUCUGGCACUAGUUGUAAGCAGACCUACACAUAUGGCUCAGGUUCAUACCACACUGGAAUAGAAGGCCAGGUUAUUCCCGCCAUUUCUCAUAAUUUCCCAGUUACAUGGACCAAUGUGUCCGCACACACUGAUUUCCCAGCCAAUUUGGUGACUUUUGAUUCUGAGAUGCCUGGCCAGUUGAGACUCUUGAAAAAAAAAAAAACCUUUCUGUAACGGACCGUUUUGCACACAAGGGGUAAAAACCGUUUAGGCGAUCGGCCCCCUUUCCAGAGAUACAGGCACAGCUACUGCAGAACACCAAACUCCCAAACUGGAUACAAAAUAGCACUCCAACUCCCGAACUGGAACCUCCCAAAUAGCUGCUAGCAGGCGAACAGGAAAAGCACCCAAGCGGCUUACACUCCUGGCAAUCAGUCUCUAACAGCAUACAGUGAAUCCCCCCAAGAACGAGACAAGGCUCCGUGUUGAGGGUCAAGCAGUGGUCUGAGGUGCUGGCACACCCAGCCUGGUUUUAUUACAGUCUUGCAAAUACAGGACCGCCCACAGGGAGGUAUAAAACAACCAAUCACAUCACAGUUACAUCCCACAUAUUCCCUCUCCUUAUCCUGAGAGGAAACUCAAUUACACAUACAGUUAAAACAUACUUUCUACCCAACUUUCAUAACUCUAAAACCAUACAUCACAUUCACAUAAAAUUACAUAUUUGGAAUCAAUCCAUUCAGAGGAGCAACAUAUUAAAAAAUGGCACAAAUCAGACAAGGGGUUCAAAAGUUAGUAAAAAGUCCUUUGUGACUAAAGGAAGCAUGGCUUUCUGGCCCAAACCAGUUUCAGAGUCUUCUAUCCUGGAGAGUAAUUCAAUUAUCUCCCAGGAUAGACACAGACUCCAUUAAGCACAUGGUUGCAAAAAGACACAAAAACACUUUAAAAUACAUAAAGUCACCUUUAUACAUAAAACACAGACAUUUCACAUAUCCCCAGAUAGCUCAGGUCUGAGCGCACAUUAUUAAGUGAAUGGCGCUCAGACCACACGAAUACAGUUUAAUCGCCAUGGAGCCAAAGUCUUUACAGUCAGUUUCAUACAAAUGGGCUCCAUGGGAUUCCUAUCUGGGGUAUAACACAUUCAAACAAAUCUACCGAACCCCAGGCAGAAAAGCACGAAUUAAACUUUUCUACAGGUAAAAAAAAGAUGUCUUUUAACAGGGGGCCAUAGUCCAAAGGCAGCAGGCGAGCAACCAGGCUUCUCCAAUGCAAUGUGGCGAGAUUGGUCUUGUCACACUUUCCAUUCCUCGUCAACAUUUCUUUGGAAUCUACCCCAUAGUGGCCGGCUACAAGGCCUGGGGAGGUAUGAGUGGAUAGGGGAAUCUGACAAUAAAGCAACUGGCUAUACCCACAUUCGAUGGCUUAAUCCUGCACUUACUCGCCUAACUGGCAUUUGGCAGAUUUUUGGAUUGAGCUGCCCUCUCUGAUUAUACAUCACGAGCAUACAAUAGAGAUUUCACCUUUACAACAAGUUUACCACCGAUUACCAUAAUACCGAUAUUUGUUCACUAGUCGCCAUUGUGACACUCCUCUCCUUUUUGCCUACACAAAAAAAUCUCUCUUAACACGACAAAACUUACCUGGCUGGAAUACAACACCAUAUCUUAAGUGCCUAUCCUAGUACCAAACAGUUCACAUCCUCUUACCAUAUGUAAUACAUAGGGACAUAAGGACUAUCCUAUGGACAAUAAGGUGCCGGUCAAAAUGUCAGACCUUUACAGGUUAUUACUCACUGGACCAAAUCUCAAUAUGCCCCUAUUUAACUGCAGGGCAAACCACUCACUACAGCUAAAUUUAUAAUGUACCUCAGAACCCUCUUAACUAGGCUGGGACUCAACCCCAUUGCCUUUUUGGGACAUUCCUCCAGAAUCAGGGAGACAAAUGUCCCUGCUCACACCAUAAACAUUAGGACGCUGGAAAUAUUCAGGAUAUUACUAGCUACAUACCACAACCAGAGCUAGAGUUGAGUAGGACAUGCCUUUAAGAAUCUUGCAACGUAAAGAUCUGUAAUAAGUUAUCUUAUUCAACUUUUUGCCCUCUUUUUAUUACAGGCCUACCCGAUACGUCGGUUUCGGCACACCACAACCGCUUAUAUAUCUAACUUAUCAUGUAUACGGCUUUUGUCCCCGACUACAAAUUGGAAGGCGUAGCCUGAAGUUGUGGGAGGGGUUACCCGCUAUUUAAACUUGUUCCCUACACCACAGGGCUGAUGCUGCCUGGUUCAUCUCUCCCACCUCUCCCCUUAUACAUAUUACUAUUACAGGUGGGCCCUCAAAUUGCUGGUGAAAGUUUGGGUGGCAAACUGAAACGUUGAUCUUUUAAUUUGGAAAAUAAAAGUUACAUAUUUUUUUAUGACGAUAAGCACCGGGCAGAGACACCAGUAAGUGGAGUGCAAUACAAUCUUUUUGUUAUACAUAACAAUAACUAAACGGAGCACACCACAGGAAAUGUUAAAUUAAAUGUUUAUUGAAAGAAUCAACGUUUCAACCCUCCUGGGUCUUUUUAAGAUUAAUAAUAACUAGUACAGUGCAUAAAUAUGUAGAGUGUGCUGGUGCCCCAAGGGGAACCAGCGGGUGUGUGUAGGGAACACAACAGGGGGUAACCCUCACAAAUAUGUGAAAAACUAUUAAGCAAAUUAUCCCUGGGGGAGAAAAAAGCCACCAGGGGUCACAGAGAAGGUCCCUUAGGGAUAUUUAUAGUUCAAUAUAGUAAUCUAAAAAUUUACUUUUAUUAGAACUCCAAUCCUAAAAUCUUACAAGAAGAUAAUCGCAUAUCAUAUAUUGUGUGACGGUGACAUUGUCGUCUAGAAAAUAUUAGAAAAUGAACUAAGUUACAUAUGGAUGGGUGCCUGAGUCAACCGCUGUGAGCAUAUAGACUGCUUCAAACAAUGUGGUCUAUCCUAUCCAACUCAACCGUGGCUCUUCUAGGGAGACCUGAGUGUCUGAUUGCUCAUUCACUAACAGUAAUUGGGGAUGCUAGAAGUCUGUGCCCUGGGAAAUAUAUACAGUAUGUACAACAGUAUGAGCUCAAUAGAUGGCUAAAACACCUGAGCUGGGGACCGUAUCUAAUAUAUACCCCAUAAAUACGAUCUAUGGAUAUAACAAUCCUGCCCAGUCAGGCUACGCAGUUCAGCGCCUGCUAAUAGUAUAGGCUAGUCUGUCCCUUAUACAGCUAAUAUGGCCAGCGUGAUAUUCUGCAUGGUAACUAUUACAUAGCGGAUUAAAAAUUAACCCGCGGUUUUCCUGCAAUAACAAUGUGUCAGCCUAAGAUCAUGUACAAAGUGUCUAGUGCUGAUCUAGAUUAGCGGUGGAAAGCCGAGGGGGGGCUAGUAUGUCCCUUGUAUAACUGAUAUAUGCAGCGUGAAAUAUUGAAUGGUAGCUGUUAUAUACAGGAUUAAAAAAUAAGAACGCUGAGAAAUAGUAGAAAUCCCGGUGAUAGCCAUAUGCCUAUCCCACACAUGCGUAAAGGUAAAUAAUAUCGGAGCGCUAAACAAAUUAAUAAGAGCUCUAUAGAGGCAAAUAGCUAGAGCUACUGGUGAUUUUCCCAGAAAUUAUGGUUUUAACGUACUCUAUUUGAGGAAAAUAUAUUAUAUACUUCAGCUACAACACUUCAAUGCGAUCCCUUCACCACAUUAUAAGAAGUAUCUAAAGUCAAAAUAAGUUUCAAGAAGUGGAGCGAUAUUAAGGUGAUAAGCCCCUUCCCACAUGCAUCCAAAAUUGAAAUAAAAGAGGAUGCUUAUACUUCUCAGUAGAUGGCAUUCACAUGCUCAGAGACAUAUGGUACAUGCAAAAAGAGGGAAUUAAAAAUAAUGAUAGUGCAGAUCUGUAUGGAUAACAAUUAUAUUAUACCUAUCUAGGUAUGGCUGAUUUUCACAUACAGUAUAUGUACUGGUAAAGUGAAUGGUUAAAUGACUAAAAGUUUAAAAGAAUACAAAAGUACUUUACAUCAAUAAAAAUGUGCAAACAGAUUGCUGCUUACUGGAAUUUGUGGUGAGUAAAACGGUAUAUUUACCCGUUACUCACAUACUCGCUUUCCCACACUGGGAGAUGUUUCCUGCGGGUAGGUCAGGCGAAAUACCGAUGAGUGGAGUCCAAAUAGCAGAUUGUUCAAUGGUUAUAUGUCCGCUGUUUGUAAAUUCCCGGCUCACGCUAUGGCUCUGCCCACCUUGUCAGCAUGUUCACGUCAGAUCGUCUACGCAUUUCGCCGUUCUCCGACGGCUUCGUCAGGAGGUAAUGAAGCUCCCACACGUGCUUAAAGGGUGAUCCCGGAGUCCCUCUGGGCACGGAGAGCUAUACAAGUCUGAGAGGCGAAUCUGCUAAAACUAAGAUGGCGGACGCACAUGGGCCUGAAACACAAGACCUGCCAGAGCACCACACUAAUCCUCCUGACCACGGUGGCUGUACACAGACCUCGUUAGAGGCAAUCUUUGAAAAAUCCUGGGCCAGGCUGCAGGAGCGCAUGGCAAUCCCUACCUGCAGAGACAGCAAGGAAGGAUCGGAGGACGGAGCGGGGAGUGUACCCUCUGGGUACCAUCGACAAGCACAUGUCUACAUUACCCACAGAAUGCCCUCCUGGGCAGGGGGCCAACAAGGACUUGCCCCUGAAACACCAUCCACGCAAGCGGAGGACCGCCAAACGGAACAAAAAGACCAUCAGAACCUCAUGCACUCCCCUUCGUGGGAAGGACUGGGACUAGAGGUGUCGGCCCCUACUAAAGCCCAGGGCCGAAUGAGAGCCAUCCCUGGAGGCUGCCUUACCACCUCUUCCAGCGAACUUUGCACGUCCACACAGAGCCCAACUGCUACAAGCACCAUGGACUGUAUGUUGCAUAAGGGUAGGGGGACUGCAGUUAGUCUAGGCCCAGAGGACCAUAGCUACCAGGGCACAGCGCUUGAUACAAUAGGCCUGGUCUAAAGUAGUCGUUAAAUAUAGGCUUAGGCAGAUCCCCUAGUUAAGAGGUGCCCAAUACAUGCUCCACUAACCAAUACAUUAACUCCCUGCGGACCAUAAUCCCUAGUAGUAAGCAUCCACUCAGUUAACGUAGACUAGUCUGUUUUAAUCAUACUAAAAUAUCUUAGCCUGAUGUCAGGUCGCAAUGCCUGUGUAACACUAUGCUUUAUGAUCGCUCUCCACUGACAUGACUACCCAUGCCUGUUUAUAUUGCAAAAAUUUACAUGUUCCUCAUUUUAUUCAUCUUUACCCUUUAAACAAGAGCAAUGUUGUAGUUAAGAUUGUACUCUCAUAAUCUCUUCAAAGGUCACUGCGUUUAACCUGCUAUGUUCCCUAGACUGCCCUAUCCUAAAGCAGACAUGUUGGCUUAACUCAUGAUGAAACUUGAAUAUAUUUUCAGUGGCAAAAAUUGUGCUGUUAUUGCAUGUCACGAUACUGUUUCACCUGUGUUUUCGCAUUCGCUUGUGCAUGCUGUUGUGGCAACAUGAGCCUGUUUGUAAAUCUAAGCACCGCAAAAAUAAAGAUUGACAAAUACAUAAAGGAAAUCAACACCGUAAAGAGGGAGACUAUAUUUAACCCCUUAAGGACUGAGCCAAAUGUACAAGUUGUGAUCAAAACAAAACCUGGCAUUUGCGCUAUAUGUCUGUUCAGACGUAAUUCAUCUCUUUCGUAUAAUGUGCACUCACACUUAUUAUAUAUAAUUUUAUUCAGGGGAAACAGGGCUUUCAUUUAACCCCUUAAGACCGCAGCCAAAUGUACAAGUUGUGAUCAAAACAAAACCUGGCAUUUGCGCUUUAUGUCUGUCUAACCGUAAUUCACCUCUUUCAUAUUAUAUGCACCCACACUUAUUAUAUAUCAUUUUAUUCAGGGGAAACAGGGCUUUCAUUUAACAUCAAAUAUUUAGGUAUGGAACAUAGUUUAAUAUAAAUAAAAAUAUAAAAAAAUGGGAGAAAAAAAACAGUACCCCCUAUGUACAGGUUUUAUGGUGUUUUGGGAAGUUACAGAGUCAAAUAUAGCAUGUUACAUUUUUGAUUUUUUUCACAUUGAAAUUCACCAGAUUGGUUACGUUGCCUUUGAGACCAUAUGGUAGCCCAGGAAUAAGAAUUACCCCCAUGAUGGCAUUGCAAGGUAAGGUAUUGCAAAUGGGGUAUAUCCAGUCUUUUUUUUAGUAGCCACUUCGUCACAAACACUGGCCAAAGUUAGUGUUAAUAUUUGAAAAUGCAAACAACUAAUUUGAACACCAAUUUUGGCCAGUGUUUGUGACUAAGUGGUUACUAAAAAAGACUGAACAUACCCCAUUUGCAAUACCCUGGGUUGUCUACUGUUGCAAAUGGUAUGCCAUCAUGGGGGUAAUUUUCAUUCUUGGGCUACUGUACGGUCUCAAAGGCAACAUAACCAACCUGGCGAAUUUUAAAGUGAAAAAACUGAAACGUAAGCCUUAUAUUUGACUCUGUAACUAUUGAAAACACCAUAAAACCUGUACAUGAGGGGUACUGUUAUACUCGGGAGACUUCGCUAAACACGAAUAUUAGUGUUUCAAAACAGUAAAACGUGUCACAACAAUUAUAUCGUCAGUGUAAGUGCCAUUUGUUUGUGAAAAAUGCAAAAAAUGUCACUGUCACUGACAAUAUCGUCGUUGUAAUACAUUUUACUGUUUUGAAACACUAAUAUUUGUGUUCAGCAUAGUCUUCCAAGUAAAACAGUACCCCCAUGUACAGGUUUUAUGGUGUCUUGGAAAGUUACAGGGUUAAAUAUAGUGCUAGCAAAUUAAAUUCCCUGAACUUUCGGCCUGGGUUGUCAGGCAGGUCCUGCAAAUUGUAAUUACUAAAAUGACCUAAUUAUGUAAAAUUAUGACAUAAAUAUAUACGUAGAAUUAUUUAUAUAUAUAUAUAUAUAUAUAUAUUUAUAUGUAUAUAAUUUUUUUAAAUUAUUUUUAUUUAUAUAUAGGUAUAUAAUUAGUGAUAUACGUAUUUACUUAUGUAUAUAGAUAUAUAUAUAUUAUUUCGUUCUGCAUGUAUUUUGAUAUCUAUAUAUAUAUUAAUUUUAAAAUACAGUUAGAACAAAAUUACACAUGUAUAUAUUUUUAUUUAUUUUUUUAUUUUUUAACAUAUUUACAUAUUUAUUUUUUAUUAUAUAUAAAUAUAUAUAAUGAAAAUUAUAUAUUUAAUCAAUAUCAUUGUACGUGUAUUUUGCUAUUACUAUAUAUAACUAUGUAUAUAUUAAUAUAUUAAAAUACACUUAGACAGUGUAUGUGUGUGUAUAUAUACUUAGAUCAUAUAUAUAAAAUGUUACACUGUUUAAACUUAUUUCAGUUUCAGACAGCAGGGGGAGUACCUGUCAUUAGAGGCAACCGGGUAAGUACAUAAGAUUGCAGGGCGUUCUAUGCCGCCCUGCAGCGUUUAGAGCCAUCUAAAUAAGGACAGCAUAGAACGCUCUGCGGUCUUAUGGGGUUAACAUCAAAUAUUUAGGUAUGAAACAUAAUUUAAUAUGAAAAAAAUAUUUAAAAAAUGGGAGAAAAUAAGUUUGUUAAAAUUUUUUUUAGUUCUACAUGACAUUUUAACUGUGAAUGUAUAAUACUGUUUGCUUUUACUGCAAUAAAAUACACAUAAUUGGAUUCAGCGAUGUCUCGCGUGUAAAACCGUACCCCCUAUGUACAGGUUUUAUGGUGUUUUGGAAAGUUACAGGGUCAAAUAUAGUAUGUUACAUUUUUCUGUUUUUUCACAUUGAAAUUCCCCUGAUUUGGUUAAAUUGCUUUUGAACCCGUAUGGUAGCCCAGGAAUGAGAAUUACCCCCAUGAUGGCAUACCAUUUGCAAUAAUAGACAACCCAAGGUAUUGUAAAUGGGGUAUGUCCAGUCUUUUUUAGUAGCCACUUGGUAACAAACACUGGCCAAAUUUAGUGUUCAUAUUUGUUUGUGUGUGAAAAAUGGGGAAGGAGGGGAAACAAAUUUGAACUCCAAUUUUGGCCAGUGGCUAUUAAAAAAGACUGGACAUACCCCAUAUGCAAAUGGUAUGCCAUCAUGGGGGUAAUUUUUAUUCCUGGGCUACCAAUCUGGCAAAUUUCAAUGUGAAAAAACUGAAAUGCAAGUGUCACGACACAGCCCGAGCCCAGCAGACAGCAAGGCGUGGCCCGCCCCUUUAAGAGUCCUGGCUGGGUUUGAACUCCCUGCUACAGCAUGCCAGUCAGGUUCUCUGCCGUGCUGUCCACCGGGGGCCUCAGUUUCUGUUUACCCUGGAUUAAGCAGCACUGAUCCACCUGCAGCCCUUUUCCAAUUAGGGUCAGCUGCACCUAAUAAGCAGGCUGUAAAAGCCAGCCCUGCCUGAGACCUAGUAUCUGCUCAUUUUGCCUGUUUAGGGUUUCCUGCCGGAUCUUUGAUUUGCUACUGACUGAUUUCCUGGACUCUGACCUCUGCCUGAUUUACUGACUUUGUUACUCCGCUGCCAGCCCUGACUACUUCUGCUUCUCGCCUGACCCUGCCUUUGGAUUUUCCCUUAAUCUGUACAGUGUUUUGGAUUUUGCCUGCUUCCUGUACCAUCUCCUGCAACUGGGCUCCAACUCCUGAUAAACUGUUCCAUAAGUCCCCUGGUAACUGUUACAGCAAGCCUUAUAUUUGACUCUGUAACUCUUCAAAACACCAUAAAACCUCUACAUAUGGGGUACUGUUAUACUCGGGAGACUUCGCUGAACACAAAUAUUAGUGUUUCAAAACAGUAAAACGUAUCACAACAAUUAUAUCGUCCGUGUAAGUGCCAUUUGUGUGUUAAAAAUGCAAAUAAAAUUACGAUAUCAUGAUUGUAAUACAUUUUACGGUUUUGAAACACUAAUAUUUGUGUUCAGCAAAGUCUUCCGAGUAAAACAGUAUCCACCAUGUACAGGUUUUAUGGUGUCUUGGAAAGUUACAGGGUUAAAUAUAGUGCUAGCAAAUUAAAUUCCCUGGACUUUCGGCCUGGAUUGUCAGGCAGGUCCCACAAAUUGUAAUUAAUAAAAUGACCUAAUUAUGUGAAAUUAUUAUAUAUAUAUAUAUAUAUAUAUAUAUAUAUAUAUAUAUAUAUAUAUAUAUAUAUAGUGUGUGUGUGUGUGUAUAUAUAUAUAUAUAUAUAUAUAUAUUCAUUUUAAAAUAGAACAAAAUUACACAUAUAUAUAUUUUUUAUUUAAUGUAUUUACAUAUAUAUUUUUAUAUUCUAUAUAAUUAUAUAUUUAAUCAAUAUCAUUCUACGUGUAUUUAAAUAUUAAUAUACAGGUAAUACUCGAAAAAUUAGAAUAUCGUGCAAAAGUUCAUUUAUUUCAGUAAUGCAACGUAAAAGGGGAAACGAAUAUAUGAGAUAGAUGCAUUACAUGCAAAGCAAGAUAGUUUAAGCCGUGAUUUGUCAUAAGUGCGAUGAUUAUGGCUUACAGCUCAUGAAAACCCCAAAUCCACAAAUCUCAGUAUAUUAGAAUAUUACUUGCAAUCAAUAAAACAAGGAGUGUACGUAGAACAAUAUCGGACCUCUGAAAAGUAUAAGCAUGCAUAUGGACUCAGUACUUGGUUUGGGCCCCUUUUGCAGCAAUUACUGCCUCAGUGCGGCGUGGCAUGGAAGCUAUCUGCCUGUGACACUGCUGAGGUGUUAUGGAAGACCAGGAUGCUUCAAGCAUCUAGCAGUGUGUGCCUCUCCAUUCUUCCCCCAGACUCUUGGUUUCCAAAUGAGAUGCAAAAGUUGCUGUCAUCAGAAAAGAGGACUUUGGACCAUUGAGCAACAGACCAGGUCUGUUUUUUUUUUUUUAGCCCAGGUAAGACGCUUCUGACGUUGUUUGUUGUUCAGGAGCGUCUUGACAAUCGAAAAACGACAUCUGAAGUCCAUGUCCAGGAUCCGUCUCUGUGUGGUGGCUCUUGAUGCACUGACUCCAGCCUCAGUCCACUCCUUGUGAAAGUCCCCAACACUUUUGAAUGGCCUUUUCCUGACAAUCCUCUCCAGGCUGCGGUCAUCCCUACUGCUUGUGCACCUUUUUCUUCCACACUUUUCCCAUCCAUAUAACUUUGUAUUAAUGUGCUUUGAUAAAGCACUUUGGGAACAUCCAACUUCCAUCGCAAUUACCUUUUGAGGCUUUCACUCCUUAUGGAGGGUGUCAAUGAUGAUUUUCUGCACAACUCCUACUGAACCAGACUGAGAGACCAUUUAAAGGCUCAGAAACCCUUUGCAGGUGUUAUGGCUUACUUAGCUGAUUAGAGUGGGACACUGUGAGCCUAGAAUAUUGCACCUUUUCACAAUAUUCUAAUUUACUGAGAUUGUGGAUUUGGGGUUUUCAUUAAAUGUAAGCCAUAAUCAUCGCACUUAUGACAAAUCACGGCUUGAACGAUCUUGCUUUGCAUGUAAUGCGUCUAUCUCAUAUAUUAGUUUCCCCUUUUACGUUGCAUUAUUGAAAUAAAUUAAAUUUUGCACGAUAUUCAAAUUUUUCGAGUAUCACCUGUAUAUAAUUUUAUAUAUAUAUAUAUAUAUAUAUAUAUAUAUAUAUAUAUAUAUAAUAUUAUUGACAACAUAUAUAUAUAUAUAUAUAUAUAUCUAUGUAAUAAUGUAUAUAUAUAUAUAUAUAUAUAUAUAUAUAUAUAUAUAUAUCUAUAUAACAACACUUAUAUAUAUAUAUAUAUAUCUAUAUAUAUAUCUAUAUAUAUAUAUAUCUAUAUAUAUACAUAUACCAUAUAUAUAUAUAUAUAUCUAUAUAUAUGCUUAAUAGCAACAUAUAUAUAUAUAUAUAUACUAUAAUAAAAUACUACACAAAAAGAUAGCACAUUGACUCUCAUACAGAUGAGAGUGCACUGUAUUUCCUAUGACAUAUAUAUCUGUGGUGUAAGAGUGAUAUUAUUACGCAAAGUGGAAAGAACAGAAGCGCUAAUAAAAGUGGGUACACCCUAAAGAUGUAACCACACAAAAUACACUCCUAUGCCUGCAAAUCAGACCCGGACUGUGUCAGACAAACCGGGCAAAUGCCCGGUGGGCCGCGAUGGCCAUGGACCAAGGCCGGUAGGAAAGAUCAAGAGAUCUCCCCUGCCGGCCCAUGCGCAGCAGCACCGGCCCCAAGAUGGAGUUCUAUCCCAUCAUGGGCCGGAGAGGAGAUCGGGCAGUGAGCCGAUCACUCUCUGCGCACGCCGAGCAGCUUCCUUUCUCCUCUUCUCGCGAGCUCCGAGAUGAUCAGAGCGUUGCCAUGGUAACCCACGGCAACGCUCUGAAAAAACGGCGCUCGCGAGAGGGAGAGAGACCUUGUCUGUACCCUGCGGGGUACAGACUGAAUUACCUGCCGCUGGACCGCCAGGGAUGUGUGUGGCGUAGCCCCCCCUCACUGGACCACCAGGUAUGUGAAUGCUCCCUCCCCUCCUGCAAAGUUAAAAGGGGGAGUAAAUGGAAUUAUUUUUUUUUUUUUUUACUUUUUAAUAAUAAUAAUAAUUUAAGGCCAUAUACACACACAAACACACUACACACACUGCACCACGAACACACAAACAUUCUGCUCCCCACCACUAACACACAAACACAGACUGCACAAACACAGACUGCACUAACACACACACACACACUGCACUAACACACACUGCACCACUAACACACACACACAGACUGCACUAACACACACUGCACCACUAACACACACACACACACUGCACUAACACACACACACACACUGCACUAACACACACACACUGCACUAACACACUAACACACAGACUGCACUAACACACAAACACAGACUGCACUAACACACAAACACAGACUGCACUAACACAGACUGCACCACUAACACACACACACACACUGCACUAACACACGCACACACUGCACUAACACACAAACACAGACUGCACUAACACACACUGCACCACUAACACACACUGCACUAACACACACACGCACCACUAACACACACACACACACUGCACUAGCACACAAACACAGACUGCACUAACACACACACACACACACUGCACUAACACACACUGCACCACUAACACACAAACACACACUGCACGAACACACAAAUAUACUGCUCCCCUGCACAAACACACACUGCAGUAACACACACACACUGCACUAAAACACAAACAUACUGCUCCCCUGCACUAACACACUACACACACAGCACCCCCUGCACUAACACACAAACACACUACACCCCCUGCACUAACACACAAAAACACUGCAUACACUCUAUACCCCUGCAUACACUCUAUACCCCUACAUACACACUACAGCCCCUGCAUUAACACACAAUACACACUCUAUACCCCUAUAUCCACACUGCACCUCCUGCACUUACACACAAACACACUACACACACUCUAUACCCCUUAUAUACACACUAGUCCCCUGGCACUCACAUACACACACUAAACACACUCUAUACACCAUAAACCUACACUAGACUACACUCCCUGCACUCUCAUACGUUAUACCCCUAUUAACACACACAUUACACCCCCUGCAUGCACCCACACUAAUUUAUAUCGCCUAUAAAUACAUAUUCUGCACCCCCUGUACACACUACACCACCUAUGCAUACAUUAUCCCCCCUAUACACAUGUGCUCUACAGCUCCUAUAUGCAUAAACACACUAGAGCCCCUAGAUACACUCACAAACACACAGUACAGCUCCUUACAUGCACACACUCCACAGGCCCUAUAUAAAUACACACACACAAACACACAUACUUUACAACCCAGAGACACAAACACUACAGCCCCUAGCCACAUGCAGUACGCCACAAACAGACCCCUUCACACACACAAUUGCUCUACACACAUGCAAUGUCCAAACAUAGACAACAACACAAGGAACAUCCCCACACAUGCACAACACUCUUUAACAGUCCGGUUCCUGUUUUGAUCUCUGGUAUCCCACUAUUGAGGACACCAGAGACAAAUCGCCAGCAAACGCAGCACAAACUCAACCCCCCUUGCCCCCUAGAAGAAUCUCAUGGCAUUUAUUUUAGCCAGGAGCACUGGAUGCUCUGGAGGAGCAUCACAUUAACAUACUAAUUUGGUGGGGGGGAAGGUGGUGUGCGUGUCAAUGGUGGUGACAUGACAUGCCCCCUUUCUGGCCCCGCCCCUAAUAGUGGGCUGAUCUGCCUUUAAUUGCCCGGGCUGAAUUUUUGUCCCAGUCCGGCCCUGCUCUGAGAGAAUCUGAUGUUUCUUUACAUAAUUAAAUUGAUAGGCCUCAAAAAAAUAAAAAUAAAUUACCAUUAAACUUAUCUUAUUCCAGUGUCAGCCCAGACUCCUCCCUCAGCCUGAUCCACCUCUAGUGAACUCAUCAAGAACUAUGACUUUUACCCAAUCUAAUGUUUCUCAUAUAGAAGCACUGAGGACACAUGUGUUGCUGUGUUCCUCUAACAAGAUUAGAAUUGGAAACAAAUGUCUGACAGCAAGAUAUUCUAUAUGUUAAUGCUGGAUUCCAAACAAAUUCAGAGUUUCAUCUAUGGGCUUCCUAUCUGAGAUUACAAAUAUCAAAAUGUUAGAAGUCCCUUUUACUCAGAAAUCUUCUCUAUUUUAAUUUUAUGGCUGCAUUAAGAUGAAGUGAUUUGUGUUGUCUCUUUAAACAAACUGAGAACUUUGAGACAAUAAUGUUUUUUUGUGUGUGUGUAAUAUAAUAUGUUCCUUGUCCCAUACUCCUUAGCCACAUAAAAUCAUCAAAGCAUUUCAAUAAAAAAAAACAAACAACUGCAUUGCACAUAUUUAACACUAGGGGUCAGUAAGUCUCUGUCCUUUCAUCAUAUGUACAUGCAUUGUUGCUCAUUAAUAUUAGAUAGGUCUAUCAUUCACUAAGCUAAAAGUUUCACUAGAAUAGUCUAAAUCCAUGUAUCAUACAUGUGCGUGUUUUUAUAUAAAUAAUUAUUUAUAAAUGCUGCAUUCACGAAUACAGAACUAAUGCCUGGUGCUCAGGAUUGCAAAUGAAAAACUAAUACAAAGGAAAGUACAUCUAUUUAUCUAUCUAUCUAUCUAUCUAUCUAUCUAUCGUUUGUAAUAAUCAGUUUGGUUUUAUAGAAGUAUUAAAUACAGAAGAUGAAACUUCAAAUAGGAUAGGAUAAUGGUAUUUGCAAAUAUUGGGUGUAGUAUGAUGAAAAUGGAGUUAAUGAGACAGUAUUGAAUUAAUUAAUCAAUUAGUAGGGAUGUGCAUGGGCAAAAAAUUUGGUUCGGUUCGGCACUCCUGAAAUUCGGGACUUCAGCAAUUCGGUUCGGUUCAUCACUUCUGAAAUUCGGGACUUCGGCAAUCCGAAAUUUGGGACUUCAGCAAUUCGGUUUGGCACUUCCGAAAUUUGGGACUUCGGUGAUUCGGCACUUCGGCAAUACCCUAAGUCUAACUUGGGGGCAGUGUGUGUGUAAGUGGUGCAGUGUGUGUAAGGGGAAGAAGUGUGUCUUUUCGGGUCUAUGUGUGUAAGGGGGCAGUGUUUGUAUUGGGGGUUGUGUGUGUGUAUUGGGGCAGUGUGUGUAUUGGGGGCAGUGUGUGUAUUGGGGGCAUUGUGUGCAUUGGGGCACUGUGUGUAAGAGAGGCUGUGUGUGUAUUGGGGUUGUGUGUGUAAGGGGGUAUUGUGUAUUGGGGGCAGUAUGGGUAUUGGGGGUUGUGUGUGUAAGGUGGGGCAGUGUGUGUAUUGGGGUUGUGUAAGGGAGGCAGUGUAUGUGCUUUGGGGGCUGUGUGAUUGUGUAUGGUGCAGUGUGUAUGGAGUUAUAGUUUGUGUGAGUUGGUAGUGGGCAGAUUAAAGAUAAUAUAUGUUUUGUAAGGUUUUUUGUAUUUUUUAUUAUUAAAUAAAUAUGGUUAAUGUCCCACCUCCCUUCUUACGUGGUGAGAGUGAACUCUAGCCUGCAGCUCAGACUAGAGUUCACUCUUGCGAGAACGGAUGGUUGCCAUGGUAACCGCAGCAACACGCUUGCGAGAGGAGAACCCGGCGGAGCUGCAGGUAAGAGCUCCCCGGGGUUCCCUCUCCCUCUCCUGCCGGCUGCCAGCAACAUGAAGGCAAACAGCAGGGCUCGCACUUGGAUAGCGCUAGCCCUGCAUGGGCCGGCAGGGGAGACCCUCGGCCAGCACUAUUUUCUCAGGACGGGUGAGGGGGGAACAAUUGCCCCGUUGCCCCCUGGAUCCGCCACUGUUUGAAAGUGGCUUCAGCAACUGUCUUCUGGCUAUGAAUUUCUCUUAAUGUUUAAGUAUCUUUAAGUCCGUUAAUCUUUAAAUAUUUAUCCUUUUUGGACUUUGAUUGGACCUCUGAAACCAGCACAAAGUAAAUUUGUUCUAGAUGACCUUGAUUGGAUUCAAUCUUGUUUCAAUAUAGACUAUUAUUUAACAAUAAGCACUAGACAUCUCGAACAAAUGUACUUUGUGCUGGUUUCGGAAGUCCAAUCAAAGUCCAAAAAGGAUAAAUAUUUAAAUAUUAACGGACUUAAAGAUACUUAUACAUAUUACUAAAAGAAGUUCUGAACCUUACCUUGAGCUCCCACCUGCCAUACCGUGGGUGAGGGCAUAUUUACUAAACAGUGAGCAACCGGUGACUGCUCACCAAAAUAAAAAUCUAGCUACUGGUUUUUCUCCAUGUACAAAUCUAGUAUUUACUCAUAUGUAUUAUAUGUAUUAUGUAUUGUGACAUUGUUUGCUUUAAGUCAUUCGGAUUUACACCUGCUUGAUUCCUUGUGACCUAUGGUGCAAUCUGUGCCUAUUGUAUUGAUUAGGAUUCUGAUAAUCUGGGUUUGCACAGCAACCACAGCCAUGCAAUAAUUGUUCUGGUUGUUUGAAAUUGACAGUGAUAAUGUGGUAGUAAUAAUUCUGCAUUAUCAAUGUGAUCGAGAUAGGGCUGACCCUUAUAUCAAACUCUUCUUAAGAAGUUUUAUAUUAAACUAACGAAGGACACUAGGAUGUUCUAGGCAGUAUAGACACAACAGAGAGCUGAAUGUAGUUACACUGCUAAGUGUGUCCCUAUUAUUUUAAUUGAAAUAUUUCCAAUAUUUGCCAUUUAUAUUAUUAUCGGGUGAACAUCUACCUCAAUAAACGGUAUACAUUAUUGUAAUCUCUUAUUGCAUAAUCUCUAAUGGAAGCAACAAAAUUGCAAGAGAAUCUACAGGUAUACAAAUGAAAAUCGUAUUACUAUUAGCAUUGAUAUAUUGCCAACAUAUAACGUUUUAUACUUAUACAAUGAGGAUACAUAACAGAAGUUAGAAGACAGACAUACAUAAAGAUACAAGAGAUGAAGAUGGACUCCUACUCAGACAAACUAACAAUCCAGGAAUACAUGUAAUCAAAUUAAAUAAGAACCUGCUAGCAAAGACCAUUGACACCUAACCCAGUUUUGUCCGCUAUAUGUGACUAAAUCGUAGUUAGAUAUUUUUUACGCAUUUUAAUAAAUUCAUAAUUCUCGCCAUAUAUAACGUUUUUUUCAGGAAUAUUUUUAUAAAAUGUGACGUCCAUUUCAUUAUAUUUUUCAGUGACUUAUUAUUCAAAGGGAACUGCGCUAUCCAUUUUCAUAACCACCACUUUUAUAUUUAAUUCCGAAAUCAGCAGGAGUUAAGCUUCCUUCACCAAUUCAUGCCAAGCUUUAAACCCCAGCCGCAACUCCCGAUCUCAGAAUGAAAUCGUGUUUAGUUUCGGUUUGUUUAGUUUCUGUUAACAACAUGUCACUUGGCAAGAAUUUUCCCCCCAGGAAUUUGUCCGUUUUGGUUAGUAAGCUCUUGUGGCUAUACCUAGUCAGUGUACAUAGACACCAUCAUAGCAAAUCAGAAUCCAUAAAACAGGACUUAUAGCUAUAUAAGAAGGUACAGAGUUUUGUUAGUAUGUUAAAGAGAUACUAUCAGCAUCAAAACAACUUUAGCUUAAUGAAGCAGUUUUAAUGUAUAGAUCAUGCACCUGCCAUUUAGGAGUUUAAUCACUUGUGUUUCUUUCCAUGGUGCCAUAGCCAUUCCUCCCCUGGCUGUACCUGACACAGCCUACAUAAACAUUCUUUUCAUUUUGAAUCAGUUGUAAUUUACUUGGAACGUUUUUUCUCCUGCUCUUUAAAUUAACUUUAAUCACAUACAGGAGGGCAUGCAGGGUCUAGCAAGUUAUAAACAGAGCAGGAGAUAAGAAAUUCUUAAUUAAACAGAAUGUGCGAUAAAGGAAGUUUAAACACUAGAUGACUCUUUACAGGAAGUGUUUAGGAAGGCUAUUUAAGUCACAUGCAGGGAGUUGUGCCUAGGGCUGCAUAAACAAAGUGAUUUGAUGUCUAAAUGGCGGAGAAAUAAACAGUGAAACUUCAGGGACAUGCUCUAUACACCAAAACUGCUUCAUUAAGCUAAAGUUGUUUUGGUGACUAUAGUUCGCCCUUUAAUGCUAACUGGCUCAACCACAGCUGAUCUUAACCAAAGAUAAUGGCUACAUGAAUCCAAGAAGCAUAAGGAAUGGUAACAUCUAACUAGUGUGUUACACCAGCAGUUAGUGCCCCAAUCUACAAGAAUAUCAGGGUUAUCCAUUAAACACAGGAUUUUUUUUUUAACGCACAAAAUACUGUGAAAAUGACCAAAUUCCGAUCACAUUGGCAAUUCACAGAUUUAUUAAAGCCCAAUGCGAUCAGGAUUUGGUCAGUCUGCCCAAUUCCUUUAAAAUUUGUUCAGAUGUGUUCAGAUAACCACUAUCCACAUCUGAACCAAUUUAUAGCAAAGGCAUCUGGGAUUUAUCAAUGACCUCAUGGUGGCUGCCAGGAUGCAUGUUUGCAAAUCAUCAUUAUCAUUCACUUGUUUUUUUGCAAGUGAAUUAAUAAUUUGAAAAACAAUGUGCCCGCUGGUACUGUUAGCAGUUAGUGGUUAAAUAGUUAGAAACCCUCAGCAGAGGGAGGGUUAAUGAAGGGGUGACUAGCCACUGCCAGUGCUUGCUAGCCAUGGGACAUGGUCUCUUGUUAAAUCCAGACUGUAGACAUAGGACUGGGAUAUCUGCAGAUUCCAGAUAUAUAAAACAUAGCCAUGUAAAUCACUGUGUUAUUCAUUGCAUCACUUGCCUUCUCCCUAAUGAUGCAUUACAACAGAUGUCAAAUUCCAAUUAAUUACUUAUUGGAAAUAGAUAGAGGGAUGCUAGAGUACUAUUUACCUGUCUGCUUUACUUAAUUACUAUUAAAUGGAUCACUUAUUAACUUUAAAUAAAAGAUCAUCAUUACAGGAUUGAACAGAAUUGCUUCAGAACGUAUAAUUGAUUUAUUUAACUCAAUCGCACCUGAUUUUUUUUUUUGUGUGAAACUUAUUCACUUAAUCAGGAGCUGUGAAAAAGUGACAAGGGCAUUGCAAAUAUCUUGAAAUAUCUUUAAAUUUAGAUUUUUAUUUUUCUCUUGAUAUUUUGUCCAAAAAUGUUCAGGUCUCUUAAUUCUUUGCUUAAUUACUAAACCUCUAGUUUUCAGCCAGAACCCAUUCAACAGCAUAUAAAAUAAUGCAAAUUAUAUAUAUAAAUAAGAGACUUGUGCAAUCGGUUUUAAAUUAAGUGGAAAUAGUCUGAAUUCCAUGAAGCCGAAGCGUCAUAUCGACGUAUCACGAAUAGUGAUGUCCCGAACGGUUCGCCGAACGGUUCGCCACUGACUCAUCAUUGAGUAAACUUUGACCCUGUACCUCACAGUCAGCAGACAUAUUCCAGCCAAUCAGCAGCAGACCCUCCCUCCCAGACCCUCCCACCUCCUGGACAGCUCACUAAGAAUGCAGCUUCAAAAUGGAUGCUGUCCAGGAGGUGGGAGGGUCUGGGAAGGAGGGUCUGCUACUGAUUGGCUGGAAUGUGUCUGCUGACUGUGAGGUACAGGGUCAAAGUUUACUCAAUGAUGAGUCCACGGCAAACCGUUGGCGGCAAACCGUUGGCGAACUGUUCGGCGAACCGUUCGGGACAUCACUAAUCACGAACAAUCGAACUGGACAAUGGAAAAGCAUGUUCGCUUGUUUUGUGAUUUGGAGUUCUAUCCGUGGUGCACCCUAAAAAAAAGAUUGAUGGGAAAUAAGAUGAAGGAUGGUUAAAAUGGUUAGGGGGAGAGCCUGUAAUUGUUGAUUUUAUUCGCCAACAAGUGAGAAGUGACCAACAGUGUGAAAAAAGAGGAACAGUAAAUAUAACCUACAUUUAUUUAUUAUAUGUUUAAUAAAUAUAUAAAUUAUAAAGAUAUCAAUAUAUAUAUUUUUACUGCUUUUUCCCCUCUAAUGGUUACUUCUCUAGUGGUUGCCCUCUAUCCAUCAAAUAUUUUAAUCUGUGAACCAAGUGGUGUGAAAAUACUUAUAUUAGGUGUACAUUUUGCAGUACACUGGCCCAUUUUCACUCCCUUUUUGUAUAUCCGAAAUAAUUUUUCCUGAAUCAUUUGCAUGGAUGUAAAUCGUCUGAGCGUAACCUCCUUAUAAACAAAUUUCUCACAACCCAAACAAUUUUCUUUUUCUUGUUACGAAUUGACUUGGCCGACCUGAAUUCUUCCACCAUCUAAUAAAUAAGAAUUCCUUCUCUUGGGCAUUUAGCAUAGUGAGACAAUAAUAGUAUCAUGACAUCAUCUUUUAAAGUCAUAUUUUGUGUGUUAUUUAUAGGCAUAUCCAUUUUACAGCUAUUUUAUUAUUAUUUUUUUGUGCCCUCAUUCUAUGUUUUACCUUGAUUUACAGAAAAUCUUUUCCCAAAAGGGGACAUGGGCACAGUAAACUUUAUUUGCUAAAUAACGAAUGUCAGUAGAUUAAAAACCAAAUGACAAGAUUUAGGCCAAAAAUGCUUUUUUGGAAUAUUAUCAAAUUUAGCUAGAGUCUUGGGUUGUGUAACCUAAAUGUUGCAAAUCAGUUUUCAGUUCACAUCAUAGGGGUGUUUACAGGUUGGCUGGUGUUAUGAAUGAACUUGGUUAGUUACAAAGGUAUAACUUAUAUAGGACUUGUGUCCCUUUAAACCUUUUAAAUUCCAGCAACUCUCAGUAAAGUUGGCUUUGCAUCAUUACAUUUAAGUGCAGUGCCAAAAUUCUUUGAAAGAUACAAUUAUAUUAAGCAAAUAUGUAAGUGAAUUUUUCUGUAUAAUUGACAUAGCAGUCCAUAUUGAAUUAUUUCAUACCAGUCCUUUUUGAAUUUUUAGAAGGACAGUGAUUUAUACACAAACCUUGAGAUAGUUAUUUAAGAUUUAGUGCACACAGCGUGUUGUGAACUUGGCUUCAAAUGCAUAGGUCAAAAGACGAUAUUAACUGAGGAUUAGUUCCUCUUCACUCAGCAGUGUACCAUGGAUUGGCAGACAGCUAUUAGAUUCCUGGAGCAAGGACGCAUGUUAGGAAUUGUGGGAUCAUGCCAUGUCUCCAGGAGCUGGUGUAGCUGCUUGUGACUGCUCCUGUCCUCCAUAUUUCCGUAAAAUUUAUACCAAUACAUAGUUGGCAAGACAGGUACACCUUAACAAAUAUACCGGAGUAGAAGGAGCAUGAUUACAGACCUAAAGAACAAGGGUAAUUAUUUCUCAGGGCAGUAACAGUGUAAUUCAUUCUGUAAGGGCAAGGGUGUUUUUGGUAAAAUUCUCAAAACACAUUUUCCAUUCUGUAACUUUUUGUUUUAAUGCGUUGCUUGGCUCCGUAGAUGGUUAUCAUUUAAGUCAGAUCCCCUGCACUCAUUUAUUUUGUUUUUACAAAAGAUUCCUUUCUCCGUCUUCUUCCCAUUUACGCAGCUACAAGUGAUGUAUCAUUGAUCUAACCAACACUUUGUGCAUUUUGUGCAUUAUUGCAUCAUGUUGCAAUAUAUGUUCCAUUUAACUAAGUGAUGUAAUUUUCACAAAAAACACAAGGUUACAACUUAUAUAUAUAUAUAACAUCCCUUACCAUGACAUAUCUUCCAUAACAUACAAGUGGUGUAUUUUCCAUUCAACAGCUACAAAUGAUAUAUGUUUGUGUACCAUGCCACAUGAUUACAUUUACUUAUCUCCUUCACAAGUGUAGAUUUUGCUUAAGACGAUCACCAGUUACGUACAUUCCAUUUACAACAACCUGUCAAGUAGUGUUCCCGAAUCAUUUACACUGAUGAAAAUUGUCUGAGCUUAACCUUAAACCUUAAUUCUACUCCAGUAUAUUUGUUAAGAUGCACCUGUCAUGCCAACUAUGGCUUGGUAUCAAUUUGUACAGAGAUCAUGGAAAAACGGAGGACAACAUGUAGAUUUUGUUUAAGAUAAUAACCAGUUGUGUACAUUCCAUUUACAACACCAUCUUAACUCAUCCCCACCAGUGAUUAGUUCCAGUGAUAUGGCUGUCUUUUGAGAUGACUAUAACGUCAUCAGUAAAGAUGUUCCAAAUUUAUUUAUGCACAUCCAAUAAAUGUACUGACUCGGUUGAUCACUGCUGACCUAAACCAUUGAGUUCCUUUUAUGUAUGUAUUAUGAUAAUGAAAGUAUAAGAAAUACAUUCACCAUGGUUUUGUAGAACAACUAGUUUUUACUUUAAAGAUUCAUGGACUUUUUUGCUCGUUAAGAAGGUCACCCCUAUAAUAUUCAAACAUCCAACAAAAAAAAAGUGAUAACAUGAUUGUAUUGUAUCAGCUAAUGUUCGGUAACAUACCAUGAAUUAAAGAAGAUAUCUCACUCUUGAUUGAAUCAACAGCUGUAAAAAUUUAUUGGGGACCGUUUCUUAAAUUCAAUUUGCAUUUUUAGAAAUAUUUCAAAUGUGAUUUUUAGCCUUCUUUGCAAAGUAGUUAGUGCAGCUUAUCAACAUUUAUUGGCUUCAAACCUCAGGACAUUUUCUCACGUAAAUUAAAUUACGUAUGUUAUAAUUUAAUUUUUNNNNNNNNNNNNNNNNNNNNNNNNNNNNNNNNNNNNNNNNNNNNNNNNNNNNNNNNNNNNNNNNNNNNNNNNNNNNNNNNNNNNNNNNNNNNNNNNNNNNUUAUAUAAGGCUUGGUCUCAUUAGCUUGUCUAAUAUAGCUUGGUGCUACUUCCAAGUGCUGUUUCUAAGUGUCUAGUUGGAGAUAUUCUGGAGACUUUAACAGAAGCUUCAACUGUCUAAGAGUUGUGCUAAGAGCUUUCUUUUCUACUGUUACAGGUAAGAUUCAUCUUGUGGUAGGUUACUGAUUGCCUGGGUUUGAAUUCUGUUGGUAAUUAUAAGGCAUUUGAUUUGAUUAAGCUUAAGUUACUUGCUGUUGAUUGGUUGGUUAAUUAGCUAUUGUUUGCAAAUAAGCAGAGGCCUACCCAGGUGUUAAACAUUCCUAGUGGGUGGUGAUUUAAGGAGUUAUAUAAGGCUUGGUCUCAUUAGCUUGUCUAAUAUAGCUUGGUGCUACUUCAAAGUGCUGUUUCUAAGUGUGUAGUUGGAGAUAUUCUGGAGAGUUUUACAGAAGCUUCAACUGUCUAAGAGUUGUGCUAAGAGCUUUCUUUUCUACUGUUACAGGUAAGAUUCAUCUGUAGGAAAAAGGUUACUGAUUGCCCAAGGUUUGAAUUCCUGUUGGUAAUUAUAAGGCAUUUGAUUUGAUUAAGCUAGUUACUUGCUGUUGAUUGCUGGUUAAUUAGCUAUUGUUUGCAAAUAAGCAGAGGCCUACCCAGGUGUUAAACAUUCCUAGUGGGUGGUGGAUUUAAGGAGUUAUAUAAGGCUUGGUCUCAUUAGCUUUGUCUAAUAUAGCUUGGUGCUACUUCUAAGUGCUGUUUCUAAGUGUGUAGUUGGAGAUAUUUUUGAGAGUUUUACAGAAGCUUCAACUGUCUAAGAGUUGUGCUAAGAGCUUUCUUUUCUACUGUUACAGGUAAGAUUCAUCUGUAGGAAAAGGUUACUGAUUGCUCAAGGUUUGAAUUCCUGUUGGUAAUUAUAAGGCAUUUGAUUUGAUUAAGCUAGUUACUUGCUGUUGAUUGCUGGUUAAUUAGCUAUUGUUUGCAAAUAAGCAGAGGCCUACCCAGGUGUUAAACAUUCCUAGUGGGCGGUGAUUUAAGGAGUUAUAUAAGGCUUGGUCUCAUUAGUUUGUCUAAUAUAGCUUGGUGCUACUUCCAAGUGCUGUUUCUAAGUGUCUAGUUGGAGAUAUUCUGGAGAGUUUUACAGAAGCUUCAACUGUCUAAGAGUUGUGCUAAGAGCUUUCUUUUCUACUGUUACAGGUAAGAUUCAUCUGUAGGAAAAGGUUACUGAUUGCCCAAGGUUUGAAUUCCUGUUGGUAAUUAUAAGGCAUUUGAUUUGAUUAAGCUAGUUACUUGCUGUUGCUUGCUGGUUAAUUAGCUAUUGUUUGCGAACAAGCAGAGGCCUACCCAGGUGUUAAACAUUCCUAGUGGGCGGUGAUUUAAGGAGUUAUAUAAGGCUUGGUCUCAUUAGCUUGUCUAAUAUAGCUUGGUGCUACUUCUAAGUGCUGUUUCUAAGUGUGUAGUUGGAGAUAUUCAGGAGAGGUUUUACAGAAGCUUCAACUGUCUAAGAGUUGUGCUAAGAGCUUUCUUUUCUACUGUUACAGGUAAGAUUCAUCUGUAGGAAAAGGUUACUGAUUGCCCAAGGUAAGAUUCAUCUGUAGGAAAAGGUUACUGAUUGCCCAAGGUUUGAAUUCCUGUUGGUAAUUAUAAGGCAUUUGAUUUGAUUAAGCUAGUUACUUGCUGUUGAUUGCUGGUUAAUUAGCCAUUGUUUGCAAAUAAGCAGAGGCCUACCCAGGUGUUAAACAUUCCUAGUGGGCGGUGAUUUAAGGAGUUAUAUAAGGCUUGGUCUCAUUAGCUUGUCUAAUAUAGCUUGGUGCUACUUCCAAGUGCUGUUUCUAAGUGUGUAGUUGGAGAUAUUCAGGAGAGUUUUACAGAAGCUUCAACUGUCUAAGAGUUGUGCUAAGAGCUUUCUUUUCUACUGUUACAGGUAAGAUUCAUCUGUAGGAAAAGGUUACUGAUUGCACAAGGUUUGAAUUCCUGUUGGUAAUUAUAAAGCAUUUGAUUUGAUUAAGCUAGUUACUUGCUAUUGAUUGCUGGUUAAUUAGCUAUUGUUUGCAAAUAAGCAGAGGCCUACCCAGGUGUUAAACAUUCCUAGUGGGUGGUGAUUUAAGGAGUUAUAUAAGGCUUGGUCUCAUUAGCUUGUCUAAUAUAGCUUGGUGCUACUUCUAAGUGCUGUUUCUAAGUGUGUAGUUGGAGAUAUUCAGGAGAUAACCUGGAGGUAAUCUGAGGUAUUCAGGAGGAUAAAGAAAAAAGUUAAUAUUUGUUAGAUUUAAAUUAUUCUCAUAAUUGGAAUGGCAGGCUUAGUUCAGUGUAACAAUUGCUAUGCAUUUGUUUCACGUUCCACUUUUUGGAGAUUUGGUUGUUGUCUAAUCUGUAGACAGUUCUCUAUCUUGCGGCAGGAGAUUGUAUUUUUGAAGUCUGAGAUUUGUAAAUUAUCUGGUGUAGAAACUCAGACUGGAACUGCUGCAAAGCCACUGCCGCAGAGACAUGCUAGGAAAGGCAGAUGGAUUACUGUAGGAUCUGGUAGACUUAGAGUUGUGGAUAAAAGGCAUUUUGCACUGUCUGUUGCUCUUCAUAAUUCAUUUUCUGCACUUUCAGAGUGUAAUGGUGUUGUGGAGAGAGGCACUGAGGCUAGUGGUGUUGUGGAGAGAGGCACUGAGGCUAGUGGUGUUGUGGAGAGAGGCACUGAGGCUAGUGGUGUUGUGGAGAGAGGCACUAAGACUAGUGGUGUUGUGGAGAGAGGCACUGAGGCUAGUGGUGUUGUGGAGAGAGGCACUGAGGCUAGUGGUGUUGUGAGGAGAGGCACUAAGACUAGUGGUGUUGUGGAGAGAGGCACUGAGGCUAGUGGUGUUGUGGAGAGAGGCACUGAGGCUAGUGGUGUUGUGGAGAGAGGCACUGAGACUAGUGGUGUUGUGGAGAGAGGCACUGAGACUAGUGGUGUUGUGGAGACCGGCUUGGAGACUAUGGUGAGGCCUAAUAGAAAGCAGUUGUUGUUGGGUGAUUCCAUUAUAAGAGGUGUGGAGAUGGACAAUGGUGGUCUUGUGAGGUGUCUUCCCGGAGCUACUGCUCACAGAGACAGGAGACGUAUCUGUACUAUUGUUAAGCAAGCAAAGCAGGAAGGGGAAUUGGAUGUACUUGUCCAUCUAGGGACAAAUGACUUGGCUUGCAAUGAGGUUUCAGAGGUUAAGGAAGUUUUUAGUGUUUUUGCCAAUGAUAUAUGGCAGGUUGCUUCCACACUGUCAUUCUCUGAAGUUCUGCCUGUGCAUAACACUCAGAACGACAGACAGAUGCGUAUUAGGGACUUUAACUUGUGGCUUGGUGAAUGGUGUCGGGAGCAAGGAUUUGGCUUUAUUUCUCAUGGUAGCUCUGUUUGGAAUGGAGAUAAGCUGUACAAAAAAGAUGGUUUGUAUCUUUCUCAAAAGGGAACAAAUGUUCUCAGUGAGCAGUUCAGAGGUUUUGCUAGGAUGUAUUUAAACUAGGAGGGGGGGGCAAAAGGGUGAUAAAACAUCAAUCCAAUUGUCCCCAAAACAAGGACAGAAGGUGCCUGUAGCAAGUGUGUUAAAAAAUGAUAAGCUAAGAGUCAUGUCUACAAAUGCUCGCAGUUUAGGGAAUAAGAUCCAUGAACUUGUGGCAAUAAUGGCAACGGAUAGUGUAGAUUUAGUCGCUGUUACUGAGACAUGGUACAAUGAGAAAAAUGACUGGGACAUAGCAAUACCAGGGUACUCUUUAUAUAGGAAAGAUAGGGAAGGCAAGAAAGGGGAGGGGUGGCCUUGUAUGUGAAGGAUAGCAUAAAAUCUAGCCUAAUAAAAGUUAGUGAGGCAAACAUAGAGUCCAUUUGGGCUACGUUAGAAUUUGGUAAUCACACAGUAACUCGUGUAGGUGUGAUUUAUAGGCCCCCAGGACAAAUUGAAGAGUUAGAUAACUACUAGUUGAGGAAGUAGCUAAAAUGACAAUGAAGGGGGAAGUUAUCAUCAUGGGUGACUUUAAUCUUCCUGAUGUAAAUUGGAAAACAAAAUUAGCUACUUGUGCCAGGAGCACACAUAUUCUAAACUCCCUACUGGGAUUGUCUCUAAAACAAGUUGUUGAGGAGCCAACUCGUAAAGAGGCCAUACUAGAUUUAGUGUUAACAAAUGGAGAUUUGGUAUCAGAUAUUACUGUAGGUGAAAGUAUAGGAUCCAGUGAUCAUCAGUCAGUGUGGUUUAAUAUAAGAACAGUGACUGAGUCACACCACACAAAAACAAAAGUUUUAGACUUUAGAAAAACAGACUUUUCUAAAAUUAGAAUAUGGGUAGAGGAGUCAUUAUCAGACUGGAGCAAUUUAAAUGGAGUCCAAGAGAAAUGGGAUUAUUUAAAAGUUGCACUAUUGAAGGCAACAGAAAAUUGCAUUAGGCUUGUCAGUAAAAGCAAAAAAUUCAAGAAACCACUGUGGUACUCCGCAGAUGUGGCCAAAAUAGUUAAAAACAAAAAGUUAGCAUUUAGGAAUUAUAAAAAAAACCCAGAGUGAGGAAGACAAAAUGAUCUAUAAGAUUAGGCAGAAAGAGGCUAAGCAAGUUAUAAGAGCUUCCAAAUCACACACAGAAGAGAAAAUAGCACAGUCAGUAAAAAAAGGGGAUAAAACAUUUUUUAGAUACAUAAAUGAGAAAAGAAAAGUAAAACAAGGAUUAGUUAGAUUAAAAACAAAAGAAGGAAGGUAUGUAGAAGAGGAUAAAGGUCUAGCUGACUGCCUCAAUGAAUAUUUUUGUUCUGUAUUUACAGAUGAAAAUGAAGGAAAAGGACCUCAGUUGAGAAAAAGGAUAAAUGAGUCAUUUAUUACACGUGAGUUUACAGAGGAAGAGGUUCUAUUUCAACUGUCAAAAGUAAAGACAAAUAAGUCAAUGGGACCUGAUGGAAUACACCCAAAGCUAUUAAAAGAGCUUAGUGGUGUACUAGCAAAACCAUUAACAGAUUUAUUUAACCAAUCGUUGUUAACAGGAGUAGUCCCAGAAGAUUGGAAGUUAGCGAAUGUUGUGCCCAUUUACAAGAAAGGUAAUAGGGAGGAGUCGGGCAACUAUAGGCCAGUAAGCCUUACUUCAGUAGUGGGGAAAGUGAUGGAAACCAUGUUAAAGGAUAGGAUUGAUGAACAUCUAAAAACACAUGGAUUUCAAGAUCAGAGACAACAUGGGUUUACUUCAGGGAGAUCAUGCCAAACUAAUCUUAUUGAUUUUUGAUUGGGUAACUAAAAUUAUAGAUCAGGGUGGUGCAGUAGACAUUGCUUACCUAGAUUUCAGUAAGGCUUUUGACACUGUUGCACAUAGAAGGCUUAUCAAUAAACUGCAAUCUUUAAGUUUGGAUUCAAUAUUGUUGAAUGGGUAAGGCAGUGGCUGAGUGACAGGCAACAGAGGGUUGUAGUUAAUGGAAUAUAUUCGAAGCUUGGACUUGUCACCAGUGGGGUACCUCAGGGAUCUGUACUUGGACCCAUUCUCUUUAAUAUUUUUAUUAGUGAUAUUGCAGAAGGUCUUGAUGGUAAGGUAUGUCUUUUUGCUGAUGAUACUAAGAUAUGUAACAGGGUUGAUGUUCCAGGAGGGAUAAGCCAAAUGGCAAAUGAUUUAGGUAAACUAGAAAAAUGGUCAGAGUUGUGGCAACUGACAUUUAAUGUGGAUAAGUGCAAGAUAAUGCAUCUUGGACGUAAAAACCCAAGGGCAGAGUACAGAAUAUUUGAUAGAGUCCUAACCUCAACAUAUGAGGAAAGGGAUUUAGGGGUGAUUAUUUCUGAUGACUUAAAGGUAGGCAGACAAUGUAAUAGAGCAGCAGGAAAUGCUAGCAGAAUGCUUGGUUGUAUAGGGAGAGGUAUUAGCAGUCGAAAGAGGGAAGUGCUCAUGCCAUUAUACAGAACACUGGUGAGACCUCACUUGGAGUAUUGUACACAGUACUGGAGACCGUAUCUUCAGAAGGAUAUUGAUACCUUAGAGAGGGUUCAGAGAAGGGCUACUAAACUGGUUCAUGGAUUGCGGGAUGAAACUUACCAGGAAAGGUUAAAGGAUCUUAACAUGUAUAGCUUGGAGGAAAGGCGAGACAGGGGGGAUAUGAUAGAAACAUUUAAAUAUAUAAAGGGAAUCAACACAGUAAAGGAGGAGACUAUAUUUAAAAGAAGAGUAACUACCACAACAAGAGGACAUAGUCUUAAAUUAGAGGGACAAAGGUUUAAAAAUAAUAUCAGGAAGUAUUACUUUACUGAGAGGGUAGUGGAUGCAUGGAAUAGCCUUCCAGCUGAAGUGGUAGAGGUUAACACAGUAAAGGAGUUUAAGCAUGCGUGGGAUAGGCAUAAGGCUAUCCUAACUAUAAGAUAAGGCUAGGGACUAAUGAAAGUAUUUAGAAAAUUGGGCAGACUAGAUGGGCCGAAUGGUUCUUAUCUGCCGUCACAUUCUAUGUUUCUAUGUUUCUAUGUUUAAUCUAUGCCUUGCCACCUUACCAUAUAUUCCUACGUAGAUCUGGCAUUUUUAUUAUAAUGUAAAUAUGUACAGCUGUAUCAAAUGCCAUACAAUUGUCUAUUUUGAAAUGCUUGCAUUAGCUAUUGUGAGCUUGAUGUGUUUUGUUUUUUUUACUCUACAAAAAUAAAGAAUUAAAAAAAAAAAAGUUUUACCUCUAAGCACACCCUUUCCGUCACUCAGUCGACUUCUACAUCAAGGUCUCCACACACCAGUUCCACACAGGUCUGGUCACACUCCUGUCAGGUUUUCACAAGUGUCAGAACCUUCAGUCCGCAUUAAUAGACCCCUCAACACAAUCACGUUGCUUAAGAAGGUAUUUGACAACCAUAUUAAUUACCCUCCCCUAGCCUCAACUCAUUGAUUUCCUCUAAGGAAUUCUCCCAGCACUAUGCCAAAGGGGUUGACCGGAGCUUGGGUGGGCAAGACAGAUAUUUCCUAUGCCUCCAAGCUUCUACCUAUUCAGCCAUCCCGAGGGCAUGUUCGUGGCAUUUUAUGGAGGGAUUGUCAUGACUUUCCACAUGUGUAACUUUUAGAGCAAAGAGUAACCCCAAGCUGUUUGUCUUAUUUGCUAACACACUAUGUUGACUAACACUCAAUAUUAGCAAAUGUCCUGCAGUCACCCAUUAUCUUAGAUAACUUCCUCGCGAUAGAACGCCCUCACUCUGCUCUGGUUAGUAUUCACAAGACGAUGGCACUUUUCCUCACUAUGGGUUCCACUUUCACAAACUGACCUUCUUAGGCAUUCAUCUUGACACUAAUACGCUACAGAACAUGUCCACCUACAGAGAAGGUACAGCGCAUUGGAGUCCUGAGAACCUUUCCUUCUGAAGAACACGCGGGAGGGAGGCAGGGGAGAAUGGAUAUACAGUCCUACUGGGCACAUUGAAGUUCUCCAUGAGAAUUAUUCUGCACAUUUAUUUCCCGACCGCUGAGUCUUCUUCCCACCGAAAGUUGCAUUCUGGCACUAGUUGUAAGCAGACCUACACAUAUGGCUCAGGUUCAUACCACACUGGAAUAGAAGGCCAGGUUAUUCCCGCCAUUUCUCAUAAUUUCCCAGUUACAUGGACCAAUGUGUCCGCACACACUGAUUUCCCAGCCAAUUUGGUGACUUUUGAUUCUGAGAUGCCUGGCCAGUUGAGACUCUUGAAAAAAAAAAAAACCUUUCUGUAACGGACCGUUUUGCACACAAGGGGUAAAAACCGUUUAGGCGAUCGGCCCCCUUUCCAGAGAUACAGGCACAGCUACUGCAGAACACCAAACUCCCAAACUGGAUACAAAAUAGCACUCCAACUCCCGAACUGGAACCUCCCAAAUAGCUGCUAGCAGGCGAACAGGAAAAGCACCCAAGCGGCUUACACUCCUGGCAAUCAGUCUCUAACAGCAUACAGUGAAUCCCCCCAAGAACGAGACAAGGCUCCGUGUUGAGGGUCAAGCAGUGGUCUGAGGUGCUGGCACACCCAGCCUGGUUUUAUUACAGUCUUGCAAAUACAGGACCGCCCACAGGGAGGUAUAAAACAACCAAUCACAUCACAGUUACAUCCCACAUAUUCCCUCUCCUUAUCCUGAGAGGAAACUCAAUUACACAUACAGUUAAAACAUACUUUCUACCCAACUUUCAUAACUCUAAAACCAUACAUCACAUUCACAUAAAAUUACAUAUUUGGAAUCAAUCCAUUCAGAGGAGCAACAUAUUAAAAAAUGGCACAAAUCAGACAAGGGGUUCAAAAGUUAGUAAAAAGUCCUUUGUGACUAAAGGAAGCAUGGCUUUCUGGCCCAAACCAGUUUCAGAGUCUUCUAUCCUGGAGAGUAAUUCAAUUAUCUCCCAGGAUAGACACAGACUCCAUUAAGCACAUGGUUGCAAAAAGACACAAAAACACUUUAAAAUACAUAAAGUCACAUUUUAUACAUAAAACACAGACAUUUCACAUAUCCCCAGAUAGCUCAGGUCUGAGCGCACAUUAUUAAGUGAAUGGCGCUCAGACCACACGAAUACAGUUUAAUCGCCAUGGAGCCAAAGUCUUUACAGUCAGUUUCAUACAAAUGGGCUCCAUGGGAUUCCUAUCUGGGGUAUAACACAUUCAAACAAAUCUACCGAACCCCAGGCAGAAAAGCACGAAUUAAACUUUUCUACAGGUAAAAAAAAGAUGUCUUUUAACAGGGGGCCAUAGUCCAAAGGCAGCAGGCGAGCAACCAGGCUUCUCCAAUGCAAUGUGGCGAGAUUGGUCUUGUCACACUUUCCAUUCCUCGUCAACAUUUCUUUGGAAUCUACCCCAUAGUGGCCGGCUACAAGGCCUGGGGAGGUAUGAGUGGAUAGGGGAAUCUGACAAUAAAGCAACUGGCUAUACCCACAUUCGAUGGCUUAAUCCUGCACUUACUCGCCUAACUGGCAUUUGGCAGAUUUUUGGAUUGAGCUGCCCUCUCUGAUUAUACAUCACGAGCAUACAAUAGAGAUUUCACCUUUACAACAAGUUUACCACCGAUUACCAUAAUACCGAUAUUUGUUCACUAGUCGCCAUUGUGACACUCCUCUCCUUUUUGCCUACACAAAAAAAUCUCUCUUAACACGACAAAACUUACCUGGCUGGAAUACAACACCAUAUCUUAAGUGCCUAUCCUAGUACCAAACAGUUCACAUCCUCUUACCAUAUGUAAUACAUAGGGACAUAAGGACUAUCCUAUGGACAAUAAGGUGCCGGUCAAAAUGUCAGACCUUUACAGGUUAUUACUCACUGGACCAAAUCUCAAUAUGCCCCUAUUUAACUGCAGGGCAAACCACUCACUACAGCUAAAUUUAUAAUGUACCUCAGAACCCUCUUAACUAGGCUGGGACUCAACCCCAUUGCCUUUUUGGGACAUUCCUCCAGAAUCAGGGAGACAAAUGUCCCUGCUCACACCAUAAACAUUAGGACGCUGGAAAUAUUCAGGAUAUUACUAGCUACAUACCACAACCAGAGCUAGAGUUGAGUAGGACAUGCCUUUAAGAAUCUUGCAACGUAAAGAUCUGUAAUAAGUUAUCUUAUUCAACUUUUUGCCCUCUUUUUAUUACAGGCCUACCCGAUACGUCGGUUUCGGCACACCACAACCGCUUAUAUAUCUAACUUAUCAUGUAUACGGCUUUUGUCCCCGACUACAAAUUGGAAGGCGUAGCCUGAAGUUGUGGGAGGGGUUACCCGCUAUUUAAACUUGUUCCCUACACCACAGGGCUGAUGCUGCCUGGUUCAUCUCUCCCACCUCUCCCCUUAUACAUAUUACUAUUACAGGUGGGCCCUCAAAUUGCUGGUGAAAGUUUGGGUGGCAAACUGAAACGUUGAUCUUUUAAUUUGGAAAAUAAAAGUUACAUAUUUUUUUAUGACGAUAAGCACCGGGCAGAGACACCAGUAAGUGGAGUGCAAUACAAUCUUUUUGUUAUACAUAACAAUAACUAAACGGAGCACACCACAGGAAAUGUUAAAUUAAAUGUUUAUUGAAAGAAUCAACGUUUCAACCCUCCUGGGUCUUUUUAAGAUUAAUAAUAACUAGUACAGUGCAUAAAUAUGUAGAGUGUGCUGGUGCCCCAAGGGGAACCAGCGGGUGUGUGUAGGGAACACAACAGGGGGUAACCCUCACAAAUAUGUGAAAAACUAUUAAGCAAAUUAUCCCUGGGGGAGAAAAAAGCCACCAGGGGUCACAGAGAAGGUCCCUUAGGGAUAUUUAUAGUUCAAUAUAGUAAUCUAAAAAUUUACUUUUAUUAGAACUCCAAUCCUAAAAUCUUACAAGAAGAUAAUCGCAUAUCAUAUAUUGUGUGACGGUGACAUUGUCGUCUAGAAAAUAUUAGAAAAUGAACUAAGUUACAUAUGGAUGGGUGCCUGAGUCAACCGCUGUGAGCAUAUAGACUGCUUCAAACAAUGUGGUCUAUCCUAUCCAACUCAACCGUGGCUCUUCUAGGGAGACCUGAGUGUCUGAUUGCUCAUUCACUAACAGUAAUUGGGGAUGCUAGAAGUCUGUGCCCUGGGAAAUAUAUACAGUAUGUACAACAGUAUGAGCUCAAUAGAUGGCUAAAACACCUGAGCUGGGGACCGUAUCUAAUAUAUACCCCAUAAAUACGAUCUAUGGAUAUAACAAUCCUGCCCAGUCAGGCUACGCAGUUCAGCGCCUGCUAAUAGUAUAGGCUAGUCUGUCCCUUAUACAGCUAAUAUGGCCAGCGUGAUAUUCUGCAUGGUAACUAUUACAUAGCGGAUUAAAAAUUAACCCGCGGUUUUCCUGCAAUAACAAUGUGUCAGCCUAAGAUCAUGUACAAAGUGUCUAGUGCUGAUCUAGAUUAGCGGUGGAAAGCCGAGGGGGGGCUAGUAUGUCCCUUGUAUAACUGAUAUAUGCAGCGUGAAAUAUUGAAUGGUAGCUGUUAUAUACAGGAUUAAAAAAUAAGAACGCUGAGAAAUAGUAGAAAUCCCGGUGAUAGCCAUAUGCCUAUCCCACACAUGCGUAAAGGUAAAUAAUAUCGGAGCGCUAAACAAAUUAAUAAGAGCUCUAUAGAGGCAAAUAGCUAGAGCUACUGGUGAUUUUCCCAGAAAUUAUGGUUUUAACGUACUCUAUUUGAGGAAAAUAUAUUAUAUACUUCAGCUACAACACUUCAAUGCGAUCCCUUCACCACAUUAUAAGAAGUAUCUAAAGUCAAAAUAAGUUUCAAGAAGUGGAGCGAUAUUAAGGUGAUAAGCCCCUUCCCACAUGCAUCCAAAAUUGAAAUAAAAGAGGAUGCUUAUACUUCUCAGUAGAUGGCAUUCACAUGCUCAGAGACAUAUGGUACAUGCAAAAAGAGGGAAUUAAAAAUAAUGAUAGUGCAGAUCUGUAUGGAUAACAAUUAUAUUAUACCUAUCUAGGUAUGGCUGAUUUUCACAUACAGUAUAUGUACUGGUAAAGUGAAUGGUUAAAUGACUAAAAGUUUAAAAGAAUACAAAAGUACUUUACAUCAAUAAAAAUGUGCAAACAGAUUGCUGCUUACUGGAAUUUGUGGUGAGUAAAACGGUAUAUUUACCCGUUACUCACAUACUCGCUUUCCCACACUGGGAGAUGUUUCCUGCGGGUAGGUCAGGCGAAAUACCGAUGAGUGGAGUCCAAAUAGCAGAUUGUUCAAUGGUUAUAUGUCCGCUGUUUGUAAAUUCCCGGCUCACGCUAUGGCUCUGCCCACCUUGUCAGCAUGUUCACGUCAGAUCGUCUACGCAUUUCGCCGUUCUCCGACGGCUUCGUCAGGAGGUAAUGAAGCUCCCACACGUGCUUAAAGGGUGAUCCCGGAGUCCCUCUGGGCACGGAGAGCUAUACAAGUCUGAGAGGCGAAUCUGCUAAAACUAAGAUGGCGGACGCACAUGGGCCUGAAACACAAGACCUGCCAGAGCACCACACUAAUCCUCCUGACCACGGUGGCUGUACACAGACCUCGUUAGAGGCAAUCUUUGAAAAAUCCUGGGCCAGGCUGCAGGAGCGCAUGGCAAUCCCUACCUGCAGAGACAGCAAGGAAGGAUCGGAGGACGGAGCGGGGAGUGUACCCUCUGGGUACCAUCGACAAGCACAUGUCUACAUUACCCACAGAAUGCCCUCCUGGGCAGGGGGCCAACAAGGACUUGCCCCUGAAACACCAUCCACGCAAGCGGAGGACCGCCAAACGGAACAAAAAGACCAUCAGAACCUCAUGCACUCCCCUUCGUGGGAAGGACUGGGACUAGAGGUGUCGGCCCCUACUAAAGCCCAGGGCCGAAUGAGAGCCAUCCCUGGAGGCUGCCUUACCACCUCUUCCAGCGAACUUUGCACGUCCACACAGAGCCCAACUGCUACAAGCACCAUGGACUGUAUGUUGCAUAAGGGUAGGGGGACUGCAGUUAGUCUAGGCCCAGAGGACCAUAGCUACCAGGGCACAGCGCUUGAUACAAUAGGCCUGGUCUAAAGUAGUCGUUAAAUAUAGGCUUAGGCAGAUCCCCUAGUUAAGAGGUGCCCAAUACAUGCUCCACUAACCAAUACAUUAACUCCCUGCGGACCAUAAUCCCUAGUAGUAAGCAUCCACUCAGUUAACGUAGACUAGUCUGUUUUAAUCAUACUAAAAUAUCUUAGCCUGAUGUCAGGUCGCAAUGCCUGUGUAACACUAUGCUUUAUGAUCGCUCUCCACUGACAUGACUACCCAUGCCUGUUUAUAUUGCAAAAAUUUACAUGUUCCUCAUUUUAUUCAUCUUUACCCUUUAAACAAGAGCAAUGUUGUAGUUAAGAUUGUACUCUCAUAAUCUCUUCAAAGGUCACUGCGUUUAACCUGCUAUGUUCCCUAGACUGCCCUAUCCUAAAGCAGACAUGUUGGCUUAACUCAUGAUGAAACUUGAAUAUAUUUUCAGUGGCAAAAAUUGUGCUGUUAUUGCAUGUCACGAUACUGUUUCACCUGUGUUUUCGCAUUCGCUUGUGCAUGCUGUUGUGGCAACAUGAGCCUGUUUGUAAAUCUAAGCACCGCAAAAAUAAAGAUUGACAAAUACAUAAAGGAAAUCAACACCGUAAAGAGGGAGACUAUAUUUAACCCCUUAAGGACUGAGCCAAAUGUACAAGUUGUGAUCAAAACAAAACCUGGCAUUUGCGCUAUAUGUCUGUUCAGACGUAAUUCAUCUCUUUCGUAUAAUGUGCACUCACACUUAUUAUAUAUAAUUUUAUUCAGGGGAAACAGGGCUUUCAUUUAACCCCUUAAGACCGCAGCCAAAUGUACAAGUUGUGAUCAAAACAAAACCUGGCAUUUGCGCUUUAUGUCUGUCUAACCGUAAUUCACCUCUUUCAUAUUAUAUGCACCCACACUUAUUAUAUAUCAUUUUAUUCAGGGGAAACAGGGCUUUCAUUUAACAUCAAAUAUUUAGGUAUGGAACAUAGUUUAAUAUAAAUAAAAAUAUAAAAAAAUGGGAGAAAAAAAACAGUACCCCCUAUGUACAGGUUUUAUGGUGUUUUGGGAAGUUACAGAGUCAAAUAUAGCAUGUUACAUUUUUGAUUUUUUUCACAUUGAAAUUCACCAGAUUGGUUACGUUGCCUUUGAGACCAUAUGGUAGCCCAGGAAUAAGAAUUACCCCCAUGAUGGCAUUGCAAGGUAAGGUAUUGCAAAUGGGGUAUAUCCAGUCUUUUUUUUAGUAGCCACUUCGUCACAAACACUGGCCAAAGUUAGUGUUAAUAUUUGAAAAUGCAAACAACUAAUUUGAACACCAAUUUUGGCCAGUGUUUGUGACUAAGUGGUUACUAAAAAAGACUGAACAUACCCCAUUUGCAAUACCCUGGGUUGUCUACUGUUGCAAAUGGUAUGCCAUCAUGGGGGUAAUUUUCAUUCUUGGGCUACUGUACGGUCUCAAAGGCAACAUAACCAACCUGGCGAAUUUUAAAGUGAAAAAACUGAAACGUAAGCCUUAUAUUUGACUCUGUAACUAUUGAAAACACCAUAAAACCUGUACAUGAGGGGUACUGUUAUACUCGGGAGACUUCGCUAAACACGAAUAUUAGUGUUUCAAAACAGUAAAACGUGUCACAACAAUUAUAUCGUCAGUGUAAGUGCCAUUUGUUUGUGAAAAAUGCAAAAAAUGUCACUGUCACUGACAAUAUCGUCGUUGUAAUACAUUUUACUGUUUUGAAACACUAAUAUUUGUGUUCAGCAUAGUCUUCCAAGUAAAACAGUACCCCCAUGUACAGGUUUUAUGGUGUCUUGGAAAGUUACAGGGUUAAAUAUAGUGCUAGCAAAUUAAAUUCCCUGAACUUUCGGCCUGGGUUGUCAGGCAGGUCCUGCAAAUUGUAAUUACUAAAAUGACCUAAUUAUGUAAAAUUAUGACAUAAAUAUAUACGUAGAAUUAUUUAUAUAUAUAUAUAUAUAUAUAUAUUUAUAUGUAUAUAAUUUUUUUAAAUUAUUUUUAUUUAUAUAUAGGUAUAUAAUUAGUGAUAUACGUAUUUACUUAUGUAUAUAGAUAUAUAUAUAUUAUUUCGUUCUGCAUGUAUUUUGAUAUCUAUAUAUAUAUUAAUUUUAAAAUACAGUUAGAACAAAAUUACACAUGUAUAUAUUUUUAUUUAUUUUUUUAUUUUUUAACAUAUUUACAUAUUUAUUUUUUAUUAUAUAUAAAUAUAUAUAAUGAAAAUUAUAUAUUUAAUCAAUAUCAUUGUACGUGUAUUUUGCUAUUACUAUAUAUAACUAUGUAUAUAUUAAUAUAUUAAAAUACACUUAGACAGUGUAUGUGUGUGUAUAUAUACUUAGAUCAUAUAUAUAAAAUGUUACACUGUUUAAACUUAUUUCAGUUUCAGACAGCAGGGGGAGUACCUGUCAUUAGAGGCAACCGGGUAAGUACAUAAGAUUGCAGGGCGUUCUAUGCCGCCCUGCAGCGUUUAGAGCCAUCUAAAUAAGGACAGCAUAGAACGCUCUGCGGUCUUAUGGGGUUAACAUCAAAUAUUUAGGUAUGAAACAUAAUUUAAUAUGAAAAAAAUAUUUAAAAAAUGGGAGAAAAUAAGUUUGUUAAAAUUUUUUUUAGUUCUACAUGACAUUUUAACUGUGAAUGUAUAAUACUGUUUGCUUUUACUGCAAUAAAAUACACAUAAUUGGAUUCAGCGAUGUCUCGCGUGUAAAACCGUACCCCCUAUGUACAGGUUUUAUGGUGUUUUGGAAAGUUACAGGGUCAAAUAUAGUAUGUUACAUUUUUCUGUUUUUUCACAUUGAAAUUCCCCUGAUUUGGUUAAAUUGCUUUUGAACCCGUAUGGUAGCCCAGGAAUGAGAAUUACCCCCAUGAUGGCAUACCAUUUGCAAUAAUAGACAACCCAAGGUAUUGUAAAUGGGGUAUGUCCAGUCUUUUUUAGUAGCCACUUGGUAACAAACACUGGCCAAAUUUAGUGUUCAUAUUUGUUUGUGUGUGAAAAAUGGGGAAGGAGGGGAAACAAAUUUGAACUCCAAUUUUGGCCAGUGGCUAUUAAAAAAGACUGGACAUACCCCAUAUGCAAAUGGUAUGCCAUCAUGGGGGUAAUUUUUAUUCCUGGGCUACCAAUCUGGCAAAUUUCAAUGUGAAAAAACUGAAAUGCAAGUGUCACGACACAGCCCGAGCCCAGCAGACAGCAAGGCGUGGCCCGCCCCUUUAAGAGUCCUGGCUGGGUUUGAACUCCCUGCUACAGCAUGCCAGUCAGGUUCUCUGCCGUGCUGUCCACCGGGGGCCUCAGUUUCUGUUUACCCUGGAUUAAGCAGCACUGAUCCACCUGCAGCCCUUUUCCAAUUAGGGUCAGCUGCACCUAAUAAGCAGGCUGUAAAAGCCAGCCCUGCCUGAGACCUAGUAUCUGCUCAUUUUGCCUGUUUAGGGUUUCCUGCCGGAUCUUUGAUUUGCUACUGACUGAUUUCCUGGACUCUGACCUCUGCCUGAUUUACUGACUUUGUUACUCCGCUGCCAGCCCUGACUACUUCUGCUUCUCGCCUGACCCUGCCUUUGGAUUUUCCCUUAAUCUGUACAGUGUUUUGGAUUUUGCCUGCUUCCUGUACCAUCUCCUGCAACUGGGCUCCAACUCCUGAUAAACUGUUCCAUAAGUCCCCUGGUAACUGUUACAGCAAGCCUUAUAUUUGACUCUGUAACUCUUCAAAACACCAUAAAACCUCUACAUAUGGGGUACUGUUAUACUCGGGAGACUUCGCUGAACACAAAUAUUAGUGUUUCAAAACAGUAAAACGUAUCACAACAAUUAUAUCGUCCGUGUAAGUGCCAUUUGUGUGUUAAAAAUGCAAAUAAAAUUACGAUAUCAUGAUUGUAAUACAUUUUACGGUUUUGAAACACUAAUAUUUGUGUUCAGCAAAGUCUUCCGAGUAAAACAGUAUCCACCAUGUACAGGUUUUAUGGUGUCUUGGAAAGUUACAGGGUUAAAUAUAGUGCUAGCAAAUUAAAUUCCCUGGACUUUCGGCCUGGAUUGUCAGGCAGGUCCCACAAAUUGUAAUUAAUAAAAUGACCUAAUUAUGUGAAAUUAUUAUAUAUAUAUAUAUAUAUAUAUAUAUAUAUAUAUAUAUAUAUAUAUAUAUAUAUAGUGUGUGUGUGUGUGUAUAUAUAUAUAUAUAUAUAUAUAUAUUCAUUUUAAAAUAGAACAAAAUUACACAUAUAUAUAUUUUUUAUUUAAUGUAUUUACAUAUAUAUUUUUAUAUUCUAUAUAAUUAUAUAUUUAAUCAAUAUCAUUCUACGUGUAUUUAAAUAUUAAUAUACAGGUAAUACUCGAAAAAUUAGAAUAUCGUGCAAAAGUUCAUUUAUUUCAGUAAUGCAACGUAAAAGGGGAAACGAAUAUAUGAGAUAGAUGCAUUACAUGCAAAGCAAGAUAGUUUAAGCCGUGAUUUGUCAUAAGUGCGAUGAUUAUGGCUUACAGCUCAUGAAAACCCCAAAUCCACAAAUCUCAGUAUAUUAGAAUAUUACUUGCAAUCAAUAAAACAAGGAGUGUACGUAGAACAAUAUCGGACCUCUGAAAAGUAUAAGCAUGCAUAUGGACUCAGUACUUGGUUUGGGCCCCUUUUGCAGCAAUUACUGCCUCAGUGCGGCGUGGCAUGGAAGCUAUCUGCCUGUGACACUGCUGAGGUGUUAUGGAAGACCAGGAUGCUUCAAGCAUCUAGCAGUGUGUGCCUCUCCAUUCUUCCCCCAGACUCUUGGUUUCCAAAUGAGAUGCAAAAGUUGCUGUCAUCAGAAAAGAGGACUUUGGACCAUUGAGCAACAGACCAGGUCUGUUUUUUUUUUUUUAGCCCAGGUAAGACGCUUCUGACGUUGUUUGUUGUUCAGGAGCGUCUUGACAAUCGAAAAACGACAUCUGAAGUCCAUGUCCAGGAUCCGUCUCUGUGUGGUGGCUCUUGAUGCACUGACUCCAGCCUCAGUCCACUCCUUGUGAAAGUCCCCAACACUUUUGAAUGGCCUUUUCCUGACAAUCCUCUCCAGGCUGCGGUCAUCCCUACUGCUUGUGCACCUUUUUCUUCCACACUUUUCCCAUCCAUAUAACUUUGUAUUAAUGUGCUUUGAUAAAGCACUUUGGGAACAUCCAACUUCCAUCGCAAUUACCUUUUGAGGCUUUCACUCCUUAUGGAGGGUGUCAAUGAUGAUUUUCUGCACAACUCCUACUGAACCAGACUGAGAGACCAUUUAAAGGCUCAGAAACCCUUUGCAGGUGUUAUGGCUUACUUAGCUGAUUAGAGUGGGACACUGUGAGCCUAGAAUAUUGCACCUUUUCACAAUAUUCUAAUUUACUGAGAUUGUGGAUUUGGGGUUUUCAUUAAAUGUAAGCCAUAAUCAUCGCACUUAUGACAAAUCACGGCUUGAACGAUCUUGCUUUGCAUGUAAUGCGUCUAUCUCAUAUAUUAGUUUCCCCUUUUACGUUGCAUUAUUGAAAUAAAUUAAAUUUUGCACGAUAUUCAAAUUUUUCGAGUAUCACCUGUAUAUAAUUUUAUAUAUAUAUAUAUAUAUAUAUAUAUAUAUAUAUAUAUAUAUAUAUGUGUGUGUGUAUAUAUAUAUAUAUAUAUAUAUAUAUCUAUGUAUGUGUAUAUAUAUAUAUAUAUAUACUUAUAUACCUACUAUAUAUAUAUAUAUAUAUAUAUAUAUAUAUAUANNNNNNNNNNNNNNNNNNNNNNNNNNNNNNNNNNNNNNNNNNNNNNNNNNNNNNNNNNNNNNNNNNNNNNNNNNNNNNNNNNNNNNNNNNNNNNNNNNNNCCCCAGCAAACAAAGUGCUAAAAACCCUUAUUACACUCACCGUAUUCUAUCUCCGCCUCCUCCGAAAUCAGCACCGAGGGGGGACCUAAUGCAUAUGUGUGGAGUGUGCUGCACACAGUUGUGCUCAAAAGUUUGCAUAUCCUGUCAGAAAUUUUGACAUUAAAUUUGAAAAUAUAAAAUUUUGAAAAUAGGACUGAUCAUGCAAAAAAAUUUCUUUUAUUGAAGGAUUCUGAUCACAUGUUCUGAAACAUAAUUUGUUUCGUUCCUAAUGUACAUUUGGCCGAAUUUUGUGAAAUUCGGAUGCUUACGAAUGUCCGAAGUGCCGAAGUUUGGUAGUUCGGAAGUGGCGAACCAAACCAAAUUGACAAAGUUCCAAAGUGCUUCGGAUUUCUGAAAAGUGGCAAAACAAGAGAGAGAGAGAGAGAGAGGGAAAAUUACGUGAAUGAUGACAAGAAUCUUGACCAAUAAGCUAAUUCCUGGCACUGGGAGCCUUAUAGAUGUGUAAGUGGUUGUGGUGGCAAUCCUGGCACUGGGAGCCCUACAGAUGUGUAAGUGGUUGUGGUGGCAGUCCUGGCACUGGGAGCUCCCUGCCCAUUAGAGUAACCACAACCACUUACACAUCUAUAGGGCUCCUGCCUCCCAGUGCCAUGAUUGCCACAACAACCACUUACACAUCUAUAGGGCUCCCUGUGCCAGGACUGCCACCACAACCACUUACAAAUCUGUAAGUGCCUUCACCCCCGGGUCGCACAGAUGGUAUAUACAGGCAUUAACAGAUGUGACCUUCACUGCAUCAAAGCUGCAUCUUCCAGCACUCCAGGGACACUCCAGACCCCUAAAGCACUCUAGUUUGCUGAAAAGCUCUAUGUGUGAAGAGCGUGUCCUCUUUUUUUAAUUUUACAAAAAGUGCAAAUUUCAAUAGAAAUUGGAACAUUUAUAAAUGCACCUGGUUACACCCCCUGGCUGUCAAUCAGACAACAGAUCCUGUUACUUCCUGGUUUGGUUAGCUCAGUGGAGCUAAACUCAAGAGGCAACAGCAGCCCAGAUCACCUGCCUUGCAAAGACUUCUCAUUGAGCUGCAUUGGGAAGUCUGUGAUUGGACAGCCACAGAAAGUCUGGGCGGGGUUAGGAUAGGGCAUGAAAAGGAAGCAGACAAGAGAUCUGUAGCUUUUUAGAUAUUUCUCCAGUGAAACAAAUGGAUAAUUAAAUGCAUGCAAGUGUUCAUAUGGGGUAUAUCUAUUUUGUAUUUAGGCAGUAGAGUGUCCCUUUAACAUAGUCCGAUCACCCUGAUUUAUUAUGAGAAAUUUCAGGGGACAGUGCUGCAAAUAAGGUGGCAUUUGGGACAAGGAGGGGUGUGGCAUUGAUGCAACAUGUGUCACUGUCUCAGGCCCACCAGGUUACUGUCAGCCUCCCGGCAGGCCCCAUACAGGGCUGACCACUGCUGCAACACUCCCUGCAUAGUCCUAGUGUCCUAAGCACAGAGCAAGCACAUCCAAUGAUGCAUCCAGGACACCGGAGAACAAGAUCAGGUUGACAUGAAAUCAGGACUAUUAGGAGACCUUCAUGCCACUGGUGAUGCAUUGAGGGGCUGGGACAAGUGACGGAGCCUUCAUCACAAAGAAUGGGCAGGUCCCUAUAAAGAGGUGGCAGAUGUAACUUAAUCAGGCCAUUCUAUGCACACAGAUUCUCAAUCGCAAAUACAAAGUGCUAAUUAUUUAACUAGGUAUUCUCUUACAUCAGAGGUCGCUGUAACUACCACAGAUUAUUCUGGAAAAGAUUAAAACAUCACUUAUGCAUAUUCUUUAAAUACACUUUAGCUUCUGCCCAUCAUCGCGCAAAUCAUGCGGGAUAUACCACGAAUGUAAAAACACAGUGUAUACGUCAAUAACAGUAAUGUUUCCUAAACUAUUGACCCUUUAAUCUGUAAUCUACAGGUACACCCAGAUUAUAAACCUGUAAUCCCCCUAAACCACUCCUAAAUCCUCAUAUUUAAUCCAUUUAAAACUAGCACUUUUCGGGCGUUCAGUUAAUGAUCACACUGUCAAGCUUGUUAUAAAUGAAGUGGCAAAUAUUUGCUUCUCGUUCAUUCUUAACAGAAGAUUCAAACACUCUUUCAUCUGAAGUUAAACAACAGGCUGUCAUAUACUUGAAUCUACUUUCUUGUUUGGAACAGACGGAUAGACACAGGUAGGUGGGUAUAGCUAGACUGAUAACGAUGCCGUGAAUUGUAGAACAGGGAAUAGACUCAAGCUGUAUCUAAAACAUUUAUCUUCCCAGGACGAGUGCUAAGCACAGUGUGAUUCAUUUUAAUAGCUGGAAAAUAAUAUGCAAUAUCACGUUAGAUUUCAAGCCUUUGAAGGGCAGACUUCAAAACCUUCCUUUCUUCUCUAGAACGGUUGAAGUCCAUUUACUGACCUAUUAUAAUCGGACUUAAUCAAACUCAAUUAAAAAAAUAAUAAAAAAAUAAAAUAAAACCAGUGGCGUCAGAUGAAGCCAAUUUAUGCAGAAAAAAAAAAUAAGAAAAAAAAAAAACUUAAAUGAAUUUAUCGAUUUUAAAACUCCUUUUGAGAGCCAUGCCGCCUGCAGCUUCCUUGACUCAAAAAUUCAGCGCUCAGUUUUGUGAACUCUGCGUGACGUUGGCUCCCUUUGGCGGAAACUGAAAGUUUUACUGAUCUACUUAGAAAAUCGGCACAGAAAGUAUCUACUUUACUCGAAAUCAAUGGACAUGAAGCAAAAGAGAAGAAAAGAUGGGAAAGAUUGAAGAAUCCACUCCUGACGUGGCGCUUGUUUUGAGAAUUUGAAGGCUGAGCAUAACUUUUUUUUUUCCCCCUACAUGGCGGCUUCGCAAUUAAACUUCAGAGUAAAAAAACACUGCUGGGGUGGAUACCCAACUCUAGAAUCCUUUCAGUCACAGUGUUUCCAUCGCAUUCCCUUUGGCACACAUGGCAUUAAUGUAGCCAGGCGUCACGCAGUGGUUCUCAAUAUAAUGGAGGCAUCGUUUACUAUGACAAAUAUGCAGGCCCGGACUGGCCAUCGGGCAAACCGGGCAAAUGCCCGGUGGGCCGCGAUGGCCAUGGACCAAGGCCGGUAGGAAAGAUCAAGAGAUCUCCCCUGCCGGCCCAUGCGCAGCAGCACCGGCCCCAAGAUGGAGUUCUAUCCCAUCAUGGGCCGGAGAGGAGAUCGGGCAGUGAGCCGAUCACUCUCUGCGCACGCCGAGCAGCUUCCUUUCUCCUCUUCUCGCGAGCUCCGAGAUUAUCAGAGCGUUGCCAUGGUAACCCACGGCAACACUCUGAAAAAACGGCGCUCGCGAGAGGGAGAGAAUUACCUGCCGCUGGACCGCCAGGGAUGUGUGUGGCGUAGCCCCCCCUCACUGGACCACCAGGUAUGUGAAUGCUCCCUCCCCCCCUGCAAAGUUAAAAGGGGGAGUAUAUGGAAUUAUUAUUUUUUUUUUUUUACUUUUUAAUAAUAAUAAUAAUUUAAGGCCAUAUACACACACAAACACACUACACACACUGCACCACUAACACACAAACAUUCUGCUCCCCACCACUAACACACAAACACAGACUGCACAAACACAGACUGCACUAACACAGACUGCACUAACACACACUGCACUAACACACACUGCACCACUAACACACACACACAGACUGCACUAACACACACUGCACCACUAACACACACACACACUGCACUAACACACACUGCACCACUAACACACACACACACUGCACUAACACACACUGCACCACUAACACACACACACACCACUAACACACACACACACUGCACUAACACACAAACACAGACUGCACUAACACACACUGCACCACUAACACACACACACACUGCACUAACACACAAACACACACUACACCAACACACACCAAAAAUCUCACUAACACACAAACACAGACUGCACUAACACACACUGCACCACUAACACACACAACACACCGCACCACACACCACCAACACACACACACACACUGCACUAACACACAAACACAGACUGCACUAACACACACUGCACCACUAACACACAAACACAGACUGCACUAACACACACUGCAGCACUAACACACACACACACUGCACUAACACACAAGCACAGACUGCACUAACACACACACACACUGCACUAACACACAAACACAGACUGCACUAACACACACUGCACCACUAACACACACACACUGCACUAACACACACACGCAUCACUAACACACACACACACACUGCACUAACACACAAACACAGACUGCACUAACACACACACACACACACUGCACUAACACACAAACACACACACUGCACUAACACACACUGCACCACUAACACACAAACACACACUGCACGAACACACAAAUAUACUGCUCCCCUGCACAAACACACACUGCAGUAACACACACACACUGCACUAAAACACAAACAUACUGCUCCCCUGCACUAACACACUACACACACAGCACCCCCUGCACUAACACACAAACACACUACACCCCCUGCACUAACCCACAAAAACACUGCAUACACUCUAUACCCCUGCAUACACUCUAUACCCCUACAUACACACUACAGCCCCUGCAUUAACACACAAUACACACUCUAUACCCCUAUAUCCACACUGCACCUCCUGCACUUACACACAAACACACUACACACACUCUAUACCCCUUAUAUACACACUAGUCCCCUGGCACUCACAUACACACACUAAACACACUCUAUACACCAUAAACCUACACUACACUACACUCCCUGCACUCUCAUACGUUAUACCCCUAUUAACACACACAUUACACCCCCUGCAUGCACCCACACUAAUUUAUAUUGCCUAUAAAUACAUAUUCUGCACCCCCUGUACACACUACACCACCUAUGCAUACAUUAUCCCCCCUAUACACAUGUGCUCUACAGCUCCUAUAUGCAUAAACACACUAGAGCCCCUAGAUACACUCACAAACACACAGUACAGCUCCUUACAUGCACACACUCCACAGGCCCUAUAUAAAUACACACACACAAACACACAUACUUUACAACCCAGAGACACAAACACUACAGCCCCUAGCCACAUGCAGUACGCCACAAACAGACCCCUUCACACACACAAUUGCUCUACACACAUGCAAUGUCCAAACAUAGACAACAACACAAGGAACAUCCCCACACAUGCACAACACUCUUUAACAGUCCGGUUCCUGUUUUGAUCUCUGGUAUCCCACUAUUGAGGACACCAGAGACAAAUCGCCAGCAAACGCAGCACAAACUCAACCCCCCUUGCCCCCUAGAAAAAUCUCAUGGCAUUUAUUUUAGCCAGGAGCACUGGAUGCUCUGGAGGAGCAUCACAUUAACAUACUCAUUUGGUGGGGGGGAAGGUGGUGUGCGUGUCAAUGGUGGUGACAUGACAUGCCCCCUUUCUGGCCCCGCCCCUAAUAGUGGGCUGAUCUGCCUUUAAUUGCCCGGGCUGAAUUUUUGUCCCAGUCCGGCCCUGCCUGUAAUAUGUCUAAGUUCUAGGAAGUGGAUCCAAAUAGAGGAAAUCAUGAAUAAAAUGAGCUUUAAUGUGAUGGCUCAAAAAGGGAAAAGCCUCUUGGCCACUAGUGAACUAAAUGUAACUACGUAUAAAACAAAUGUCAGUCAUCCCAGAGACAAGGAAAUAAUAGAUCUGAUGCUGCCCUAAUUGAAGAAACCGACAAUUAAGUCCCAAAUAUAGGCAGGAUAGCCAAAAAAAUAAAUAUCAAAACAAUAUAGAUUAGUAGAAGUAGCUAAAGAUAUCUAUCAAAUCAUGGAAUAACAUAUACCAACAAUUACAGCACUUAUCCCUACCUCGUACUUAUCGUAAACAGCAGAAGCCGGUGAACCCGGAGAUACCUCAUACAAGCCUGUACAACACCGAAUUGCGCGGAGGCCUACUGGAGCUUGAGCCAGGUGAACGGGUCCCUCUCUCGGUUCUCUGACCGGCACCUAGCCAUCCCCACACACCCUUCGACCAGUGGGUGUUAUCCCGGUCCCCACUGGCGGACACCACUACUGUCUGCAGACUUCCCACAGCUGCUCUGAAGCAGGCAUCAAACAGAGCAGACUGACCCAAGAUGGCGGACACGCUGCAACCACAUGUGCUGGAAACUACCACGAUCACCAGAGACAACGUGGAGUAGGCACGGCGACGCCUGACUGAAAUCUUUAAGAGAUUCUCGGACAAACUCCUAACACACAUCAGGGAGGAGGGGAGUAAGCAGAGACAGGAGAAGAGCAGGCCCCUCCAGAGCGCACCUUCCACAGUGGCGGCACAUCCACCCCGAAGGGGCCCACCGGGUUGAAGGCCAACAGGGAAACGAUCCCAGUGCAUCACCCACGCGCACAGAGGACCCUGUUGCCACAGACUGCGACGGAUUAUCAAGAUUCAAUGCUGUCCACCCACAGGGAAGAACUCUUUCUCCAGUGAGAGCUCCCAGGUUCGUGGAUGUCGGAUGCAGGCCUCCGGGACGGCCUGGAGCGGUGAGGGGUCACUGUCUAGACACAGUCUCUCUUCAUGCAGCUCGUCCCCCCCACCUUCCACUUAGCAAGGGCAUCGGCUGACUUGAGCCUGCAUACCUUGAGCUCAUAGACGAAUAGUAACAGGACUUCCCUAAUGCCUACCGGCCUCCCAAGUUCCCCCCUCAUUUUGAUAUCCAUCUUUUAGGACUCUCCGCACUCUCCCCACAAAUAUGACAGGCCGACGUAUGUACCCAAAGUCAGGGAACCGGAAGUGGUAAACAGAAGACCACACUCAUGCUUAUUCCUCCCAGGGACUCUGAAAGGGCACCCAACUAGCCGGACAGAUUGGCAGCUACCCUCAUGACCAUCUAUGGGUACCAGGGAACGAAUCCAGCUUACCGACUUUGGGUUUGCAGAGCCUGAAAUUUGUUACUAUUUAGUCUGUUAUCCGUUUGUUUUUCAUCAUGUAUAGUUAGGUGCAGCCAUUUAAAACUGAAGCUUAGUUCAGUGGUUUUCAACUUAACUCCAUAUUCUGCACAUGUCUAGUCCAUGCAACUCCAGAUUAUGUUCUCCGGCUAGUCAGACAAGUGCUACGCUUAAAGGACCACUAUAGUGCCACGAAAACAUACUCGUUUUCCUGGCACUAUAGUGCCCUGAGGGUGCCCCAACCCUCAGGGUCCCCCUCCCGCCCAGCUCUGGGGAGAGGAAAGGGUUAAAACUUACCUUUUUUUCCAGCGCUGGGCGGGGAGCUCUCCUCCUCUUCUCCGCCUCCGAUCCUCCCUUUCGGCUGAAUGCGCACGCGCUGCAAGAGCUGCGCGCGCAUUCAGCCGGUCUCAUAGGAAAGCAUUUACAAUGCUUUCCUAUGGACGCUUGCGUGUUCUCACUGUGAUUUUCACAGUGAGAAUCACGCAAGUGCCACUAGAGGAUUUGGAGUCUGGAUUAACCCUAUUAUAAACAUAGCAGUUUCUCUGAAACUGCUGUUUAUUUAAAAAAAAAAAAAGGGUUAAAUCCAAGAGGGACCUGGCACCCAGACCACUUCAUUAAGCUGAAGUGGUCUGGGUGCCUAGAGUGGUCCUUUAAGCAUGUUUACUGCGCAGAUCAGCAUGUACUAAAUCAUAUUUUCUAGUAUUCAUUAAUUACCCUACUGCAACAGUUAUAUCUAACCUGCUUUACUAUGUAUACUUAUUUACCAUAGUCAACUCAAGUAUUGCCAGCCUGUUAUAUGUAACUAAUAUAAGAGCAAACGUAUACAGAGGACAGGAAUACAGUGGUACUAUAUCUUGUUAUAAUGCAUAAUAUGUUCAAUGUUAACCUAGAUACGAGUAGCAUUCAAUUUAAACGUGACCCCUAGCCUGCAACCUACAGCUUGUACUUUUGUAUUGUCAGCUAUAUGUAUCUCACGGUCUAAACUUGCCUAUAGCUAGGUGACCCACCUUAGUUACUCCAGCUAUAAUUGUUAUGCACAUUCAUACCAUGAGCCAUGAGUCUAUUUUUUUUAAUUGUUUUUUUAUGCAUGUUGUGAGCAUAAUUACACAUAUCUCCUUAACCCUGAUACCCAACUUUUUCAACUCUGAGACAUGUCAGAAAGUCCAAGCUUGUUAUACCACAAAAAUGUGCAAACUUGAGGGGGGCGUGGCCGACGACCAGACUGAAUGGCCACACACUAACUUAGCUCCGAGCUAAAAGGGCUGAAAACUCUGUCAUUGGAGACUCACAACCGAGAUGGGGAACAACAAAAAGCAGCAGACCACUCACCCACCAACGGGGAAGACCCCGGCGGGCAAACCGGGACCGGUAACCCGCUUAUUCCGCGACUACGCCGAUCGCGUCUCAGAGCAUGGAGACUCCAACAUGGCGCCGGCUGCAGCCUACACGAGCUCCCAGCCACAAAGCCCAGCGGCAUCCGUGGACAUCAAUGAGCUCCUGAGGAACCUACCAUCCAAAGCUGACCUGGCACAAAUGCUGGGGAAAAUAGAAUCCACGUUCCAGCACAAAAUGGAGGGCCUCAGCUCUGAUAUUCAAAAGGUAGGCCACAGGGUACAGGACCUGGAAGACGAGAGGGGAUCCUUUCAGACACGGAUACAAGACCUAACUGCUACAGUGAAUUCCCACGACAGACACCUCUCCAUGAUGCAAAGGUCACUAGACGACCUAGAUAACAGGGGACGGAGAAAUAACCUCCGCAUAAGGGGGCUUUUGGAGACAGACAAUGAAAAUCUGCACGACCAAUUAACCAUCCUCUUUAACUCCAUACUAGGCCGCCCUCCAGACACACAGAUACUCCUGGACAGAGCGCACAGAUCCCUACGGCCAAAGAAUGGGAUUGGGGAAGCACCUCGAGACAUAAUAUGUCGCAUUCAUUACUUUACACUCAAGGAUGACAUCCUGAAAACUUUAAGGGACACUUCCGCCCCACUGCUAUACCUCGGCCAAGAAAUCCAAAUAUACCCAGACCUGUCAUGGCUCACCCUACAGGCGAGAAGAGCCUUAAAACCUGUCACUGACCAACUUAGAAUUCGCAAUAUAAGAUACAGAUGGGGCUUUCCAUUCGCCCUCACAGUCAACGCUAGAGGAUCUGCGUUCACAAUCGCAACACAUCAAAACGUAGCCCCAUUUAUAAGGGCACUGAAUCUGAACGAAACCCACGUCAUGGACUGGUACUCGCCGGACCCAGCAGCCUCCCACAAUAAACAACCACGCGACAUGGGAAGACAAUCACAAGCAAAAAAACAGAGAACCGGACAAGUCAGUCCCCAGCAACCAAGAGAGAGAAGACCCAGAGGAGCCAUGGACGACUAACUCAUAUGAACAUAACAUGCUCAAAUCUAUCGGCAACCCACACAUCACCAUAGGAAGAUUACUAUCCCAAGAUGACAACACCUGCGUACGGAAUCACACGGAGAAAGGGAGAACUCGCUUUCCUCUAUCCACUCACAGUGGAUCCCGACGUAAGGGACUUAUCGGGACUUAAUGAUAAACCUAGACAGGACUUGCGAACUCUCGUCGCAACCUAAAGCGACAAAUAUAACACCAAAGACACCCUGCUGGACUCUCAACAUCAGGUCGUAUGUCUAACAAUGUGUUUAAAAAUAUGUACUUUUAACCUACAUUUGCACAUCACAAGACUACCCGGUAGAGUAGUACCUGCCCAAACAUCAGACUGCGACAUACAAGUAGGGAAACGGUUGAGACAACCCACACCAAGGUAAAGGGACAAAAAAAAAAACCCCAAAAAAACAAACCAUAUGCCGUCUCUUGGGAUAAUACUGCCACAUACAUGAGCCACCAUCUGGGACAACAGUCAAGAAGCUCGUCCCCCAUCAGCUCCGCUGCACGUCCCCAUACAUUAAAACGAACUCCACUACACUAGUAUAAGCUUACAAGUUUUCAGCCCCAAAGCUUACAGUGUCCACCACAACAAAUAUCUACACAACACAACGACUCAAGUACCACUCCUAAAUAACACACUUACCACUUACCCACCCACCCCCACCCUACUCUACACUCACUAUAACACACGGUGUCACGACACGCUGGCCUCCUGCAGACUCAGGGACAUCUCAGAGGCCGACACCAGUCACCGUAGUCGCACACAAGCGACUACCCACACAGUUGUUAAAAGGUAUUCAACUACUGUGCCAGGACUAGACCUGGCGAAUUGUAUAUAGUUAAAAGUUGUUAAUAUUACCACUGUUUAUGUGAUUUAAUAUAUUUGUACCGAACGGCACUAUAUUUUGCACAGUGUAUACAAUAUCUUUUGUUACAAACGGCUCACGAUACCAUGGAACAUGAACACUCGCAGUACGACCCUACAAACCCUCCAGAGGUGGGCGCACUCGGGGCAAAAGCCACUAUCACUGUCACCUCCCACAAUGCUAGGGGUCUGAACACAGCAGAAAAACGACACAUGGCACUAUCAGACUAUCAUAGACACAAAGCAGAUGUGGUAUUAAUACAGGAGACACAUUUUCGCAAAGACUCUGCCCCCUCCCUUAAAUCUAGAACCUACUCCAAAGGCUACUUUAGCAAUUUCGCAGAAGCCAAAUCGAGGGGUGUAGCGAUUCUCCUAUCUUCCCACCUUCCAUUCACAUACAUAGAUCAGCUCGCAGACGGCAAUGGUAGGUUCCUCUUCCUUAAAGGACUGAUAGGAAAUACAACCGUCACUUUCGUGAACAUCUAUCUCCCUAAUAGGAAACAGACUCCUGCCCUACGCAAAAUACUGUACAAGCUCGACACCUUUAAGGAGGGCCUUUGAAUCGUAGGAGCAGACUUCAACAUCUCCUUAGACUGGACACUAGACACCACCUCCCAGGCUCAAACAUAUCAAGCCUCAUCUAGAACCCGCAUUCAGGCACUAUUAGACUCGUACCAAUUAUAUGACAGCUGGCGAAUCACUAAUCCUGCAAAACGCGACUACUCAUAUUACUCCCACUCCUCAGGCACAUACUCCAGAAUUGACAUGUUUCUCAUCCCUCAUCGGUUCUUAAACCUAGUCCAAAUGUGCGAGUACGCUACAAUCACCUGGUCUGACCAUGCCCCGAUAUCUAUGACCAUCGCCAUCCCAUCACUACACCCCAAUAGAUCCCAAUGGAAAUUAAAUGACACCCUAUUGAACAAACCGGAGAUACAAACACAAAUCAGGGAAGGGCUGACUCAAUAUUUUGACCAAAACACACAACGUGGUACCUCAUGCCCAAUAAUUUGGGAAGCCCACAAAAGCACCAUUAGGGGUAUAAUCAUCCAACUGGCGUCAAAACACAAAAAACAUAGAGAAGCACAGGCAACUAAACUAACUUAAGAAAUUAGAACACUAGAAGACACACAUAAACAAGAAUCCUCCCUCACUAUAUACUUGCGACUACUAGAAAAGAGGAUGGAACUUAACUCCAUCCUAAAUGCUCGCACCAAACAUGCCCUGGCUAAAACAAGAAGCCUCUACUAUGUCCAAGGGGGAAAAUGUGGGAAACUCAUAGCCCAUGCCUUAAAAAAACAUAGAGAACACACCUUCAUAGCGCUCAUACGCAAUAAAGAAGGGAAACUCUCGCACUCAAUGACUGACAUAUCGAACGCUUUCCACGACUAUUAUUCAGCCCUAUACAACCUUAGACGCACAGCCCCCCAGAUGCAGGACAUAAGGGCGUUCCUAGAGAAGAGAAUACACCACUCCCUUCCAAACAACCUAAAAGACUCCUUGGAACAUCCCAUUUCCACAGAAGAAUGCGCAGAUGUAAUUAAACACCUGCCACAUGGGAAAAGCCCUGGGCCUGACGGGUUCACAGCAAAAUAUUACAAAACUUUCGCGAAGACACUUUGUAAAUGCAUUCAACUCGCUGCUACACUCAGACAAGCUUCCACCCCAGGCCCUUAAUGCAACAAUCACUCUCCUACCAAAACCAGGCAAAGACUUAACUCAAUGCGGUAGCUACAGGCCUAUUUCCCUAAUAAAUGCAGACAUAAAAAUUUUCACGAAAAUCCUAGCCAAUAGACUGCGCCCGAUACUCCCAGGAUUGGUACACGCAGACCAGUCUGGCUUUAUCCCGGGUAGAGAAGCCAAGCAUAACAUCACUAAGAUCUUGAACCUAACACACCAUGCCACACGAGCUGGGUUCCCCAGUCUACUCCUGUCAAUAGACGCUGAGAAAGCGUUUGACAGGGUAGACUGGACCCUGAUGCUGCAGACGCUGCAACAAUUAGGAUUUGGGCCACAUUGGCAAAAAAUGGAUCUCUGCGAUCUAUUCGUGCCCGACCGUGCCCGACCGCCAACAUCCGUAUAAACGUACAACUCACUGACCCGGUAGUAAUUUCCAACGGCACCGCUCCUCUUCGUUCUUGUUUUAGAACCUUUUCUACAGGGGAUCCGGGACAACACUAACAUCAGGGGCAUCCGGACAGGGACAGAGGAACACAAAAUAGCAGCGUUCGGCGAUGAUGUGCUUUUCACAUUGGCAGACCCAGUGGCCUCAAUACCCCACCUGAUGUCAGAGAUGGCUACCUAUAGUACACUCUCCAAUUUUAAAGCAAACAUUAGCAAAUGCGAGAUCCUCUCGAUACAUAUUCAAUCACAAGAGAAGGACGCUCUGCGCAGAGAUCAUCAAUUCACAUGGGCAACACACAGUAUCAAAUAUUUGGGAAUCCACAUCACCAGGAACCUCUCCCAACUAUUCGAGAACAACUUUCCUGACUUAAUAAAGGCCAUAACGCAUGACCUCACCACAUGGAACAAGCCACACUUUGGGUGGUUUUGUAGGAUGAACAUCCUCAAGAUGAACAUCCUACCCAGAAUACUAUACAUGCUACAGGUGCUCCCUAUCACUGUUCCUAAGUGUCAGGAUUACUGUUUGAUCCAGCACGUAGAACUGUACUGCACGGAUGACAAAUAAGUAACGUAUUACCGGUCCUUAGAAUGGCCGGAUUUAACGUACAAAGAAUAGUCAAAAAUACUAGCCGAGGGGGGCGGAGUCUGACUGCUGGAGUGGACGGUCGCAUGCUGCCCGAGCUCCGGGCCCAAGACCAGCAAAUCAACAGAAUACCAAGCCAAAACUAUUGACAAAUUGCUCCACUCACCUAAUGGGCAUUAGCAAGCAGUCCGGGGACACGAUGCAUGCGGUAAACCCGCCGACGGACAGCUACUCCACGAUGAGGCAACUGCGCGGCCUACGGGAGGCCGAGGCGGGGGGAGACGGCCGCUCUCCUUGCACUCCGGUUGACCGUGGAGCCCAUAUUUGCUCCCACCCUCCCCCCUAUGGACCGGCGGGGGUCAUCCCGGUCCCCCAGAGGGCACAGGCAUGCUCACCCCGUCCUAGCCUGAGGGGCCCUGCAGAAUCGGAUUCCCACACGGAAGGAGCCAAGAUGGCCGCCGGACCGAAACCCAUCUCACCUCAAACCUCCAAGAUGCGGGCCACCCAGGGGGACGGUAUCGCCAGGGCCUUUGAUGACUUCUGGGCCAAAUACCAAGAACUAACUCUACAGAGCGAGGCACAGCGUGCUACCGAAGAACCGAACCACAGCAACAGAUGGAUUGACAUGAAUCUGGGCCAGGCAGACCCUAAGCAAGCCACGAGAAAACUGGAGGGAAAGUGGAAACACCACAACAGGUGGAGUGCCACCCAGGGCCUGACCCGGUCUCACCCAUCAGUCCAACCGCAGCCUACCUCCAAGCGCACUUCUUACAGCACCUCAAGAAAUACACUUAAGGCACAGAGGCCUCUCUCCACACAUAGAUCACGAGACCAUCAGGCCGGUCAUCAUCACCGUCCACCCAAACACCCACCGAGAGACCCGGGGAAAAUGCCACGAUGGAACAAACAUAAGCAGCAGUCUAAACCAGGAUGGGGCCAAACUACAGCAUGGAAAGCAGGGAGGAGAAGGCGGGAAACCCGACGCAAGCCCCUGCGGGUCAGCAACAGCCCACCAGCGGUGAGUCACCUAACUGAAAGGAGACAAAUCCAAGGACUAUUCACCCAAACCCCCCCUCCCCGCGCUGUGAUCACAACCCCACCUGGGCAAAGACACCAUGGGGGACCCCAGAAACCCGCAACAACCUACCGUAGAGCUACAGCACUCAGCCCAAGGGGACUCACAUGGAGAAAGGCCUGGCAGGGAGACAUCGUCGGAGACCACCACCGAUCACUACUAUGGGCACCAACCCUGAGGCUGACGGGGAUCGGUUAAACAACCUGACCUGGACUUGGCAUCAUCCACCAAAGGCACUGCACACUAGGUCCACCACACAGUGUAUGCUUAAAGGAUGACUGCACCUGAGCUAGCCACUCAUUAGCAAGUAAUAUAUCUUGAUUAAUCAAAAACAAUAGCCUAAGAUACAACAAGCUGAAACCUAUAAGCAACCACAAGAAUAUUAUGUAACCGCUACAUUUUAAAGUACCAAACAUAUAUUAUUAUGUGUUGUCUAAUCUUGUACCUCACUAUUCAAAUUCAGCAAACAAAAUAACAUUUAGAUAAGCAAAACUAUUAUAUAAAAAAGUGCAAUGCUCAGUAAUGCUCAACUAAUGUCAGGCUAUGGUUGUAAAAUGCUAUCUCUAGCUGUUGUGGCACUAAAAGCCAGCUAUGAUUCUCCUAUGCACACUUAACAAUCUUAACUGCUGUAUGACGCCCCCUAGCUGUGUACACAUAGUCUAACUUUUAUAUGUAUUACCUCAACUAGCUACUGUUAUACUGCAAACCGUGCUUAUACAUUCAGGCUACGAGAAUAUAGCAACUAAACGUUAGUCAAUCUCACUGUAUUCUAGUUAAGCUUAACUUACCAAUCUGUCUAGUUAUGCAUGCUUAAAAAACAAAAAUUGUGCGAAUUCGCAUGCCACUGUUAAACUGCUUUGACCCUUGAAAUAUGCUGUUGUGGCGACUGUUGACAUGUUGUAAUCAUCUGCACAUCAAAAAUAAAGAAUUAAAAAAAAAAAAAUACUAGCCGAGGUCAGGGAACACAGAAAGGGACACAGCGAUGAGGAAAGCCAGGAGUCAGGAUACCAGAAUAUAGAGAAGUCCAUAAACAAAGCCAAAGUCAAAAACCAGGUAGAAAACUAUAAACAGGAACGCGCUCUCAGACAACCACAAGGGAAACCACGACAGGGCACUGAGCAGGCUGAGAACUGGGCCUAAAUACCCCUCCUUUAGUUCUGAUAGGCUGUAACCGGCCUUUGACCCCAAAGUCAGUUACCAGGUUUCAUUUGCAUAAUUGCUGCUCAGCAUUAACCCUUCUGUGGAUUAGGUUGCUGCUCGGCACAACUUUUCCUGUGUGGACAGUAAAUGUCAUUAAUCACUUUUCUCUAAGCGGAUGAAUACAUGACACCAGGUUUCAUUUGCACAAUUACUGCUCAGCAUUAACCCUUCUGUGGAUUAGGUUGCUGCUCGGCACAACUUUUCCUGUGUGGACAGUAAAUGUCAUUAACCACAUUUCUAUAAGCGGAUGAAUAUGUGACAUUACCCCCCACCUGAAGAACGCCCACCGGGCGGACAGGACCAGGCUUGAGAGGAAAUUUAGCGUGAAAAGCGCGGAUCUUACGGCCCGCAUGCAGGUCAGGAGCCGAAACCCAAGAACGAUCAGCAGGACCGUAACCUUUCCAAACAACCAAGUACUGUAAAGUGCCCCGAGAAAACCUAGAAUCCACGAUAGAAGAUACCUCAUACUCUUCCUGACCACCCACCACCACCGGAGGGGGAGGAACACAAGGAACAGUAUAUCUAUUGCAGACAAGAGGUUUGAGUAAGGACACAUGAAAAGUGUUGGGAAUCCCUAAAGAUGCAGGAAGAGCCAGAGAGUAAGACACUGGAUUGAUCCUACGAAGCACUCUAUAGGGACCAAGGAAUCUGGGGGCAAACUUCAUGCUAGGGACCUUAAGCUUGAUGUUGCGAGAUGACAACCAAACCCGGUCCCCCACUUGGUACACCGGGUUGGCACUCCUACGCUUAUCAGCAAAAUGUUUGAAGCGUUCAGCAGCAGCCCCUAGAGCAGUUUGAACCUUAACCCAGGUAUCCCGAAUGGAGGCCAGACGCUCAUCCAGAGCAGGAAUGGCAGUAUCAGAAAAUACCGCAGGGAGAACCGUAGGAUGCCUACCAUUAUUGACAAAAAAUGGACUGUGCCCAGAGGAGUCAUGAACAGCAUUGUUUCUAGCGAACUCGGCCCACGGGAGUAGUUCGGACCAAUUGUCUUGUGUGCUAUUAAUAAAACAACGCAAAUAAACUUCUAAUGACUGGUUAGCCCUCUCAGCUGUACCAUUGGUCUGUGGAUGGUAGGAGGAGGAGAAGGAGAGAUCAAUCCCCAAUUGUUUACUGAACACCCUCCAGAACCUGGACACAAACUGAGAGCCCCUAUCAGACACAAUAUUGUGGGGGAUGCCAUGCAAACGGACAAUUUCACGUAUGAAAAUUAGGACCAAAUCUUGCGAAGAUGGCAACUUCUUGAGAGGAAUGAAGUGAGCCAUCUUAGAAAAUCGGUCUACAACCAUGAGAAUAGUAGUGAACCCAGCAGAGCUAGGAAGCUCAACAAUAAAGUCCAUGGAUAGGUGGGACCAUGGAAUCUCAGGAACAGGAAGAGGCUGCAACAGGCCACAAGGAAGUGCAUGAGUCACCUUAGAAACUGCACACACAGAACAUGCCUGCACAUACUCCUUUACAUCUUUCCUGAGUGAAUCCCACCAAAAUGAUCUAGUGAUCGCGGCAGUGGACUUAUUGAUGCCCGGGUGUCCAGCAGUUAUAUUGUCAUGGAACACUUUCAUGAUAUUAACCCUUUCACAUAGGGGAACGAACAGUUUAUCACACGGUUUACCACUGGGCGCCUGAGGCUGGGCCUCCAGUAUGGUGCCAAGCAGUGGAGAAGACAGUAAGAGGACAGUAGUAGCAAUAAUACACUCUGGUGGAAUAAUAGGAGAUGUCAUCUGUUCCGGAGCUGACUCAUUAUCAAAUUGCCUGGACAAGGCAUCAGCCUUGGUAUUUUUAGAACCAGGUCUAUAAGUAAUGAGAAAGUUAAAACGUGAAAGGAACAGUGACCAUCUAGCCUGUCUGGAAGACAAACGUUUGGCAUCCCCUAUAUAUGCCAGAUUUUUGUGGUCGGUUAUGAUCAACAGGGGGUCCUUGGAACCCUCCAAAAGAUGUCGCCACUCCUUGAGGGCAAGAAUAAUGGCCAACAGUUCUCUAUUGCCAAUAUCAUAGUUGCGCUCAGCAGGAGACAUCUUUCUGGAGAAGUAGCCACAAGGAUGCAAUGGUGUUCCCUGGCUUUCUCUCUGAGAGAGAACAGCCCCUACCCCUGUCUCGGAUGCAUCAACCUCCAAUAUAAAAGGUUUACUGGUGUCAGGAUGUUUUAGUAUGUCCGCAGAGGCAAAUCUUUGUUUAAGAGUCUCAAAAGCAUUCACAGCCUCUUUGGACCAUACCGUGCUACUAACCCCUUUGCGAGUCAUAUUUGUGAUUGGGGCUAUUACAGAAGAAAAUCCCUUGAUGAAUCUUCUGUAAUAGUUGGCAAAACCAAUAAACCUUUGAAUGGCUUUUAAACCAGAGGGUAAUGGCCAGUGUAGUACAGCCUCUAGUUUUUUAGGAUCCAUUUGAAAUCCCGAUGCAGAGAUGUUGUAACCCAAAAAGUGGACUUCAGGCUGGUCAAAUAUGCACUUUUCUAAUUUACAAUAAAGUUUAUUUUUCAACAACAUCUGCAGAACCUGUUUCACAUGGGAGUGGUGAGUUUGAAGAUCAGGGGAAUACACCAAAAUAUCGUCCAAAUAAACCAAGACAAAUGAGUAAAUGAAUUCCCUGAGUACAUCAUUUAUAAAGUCUUGGAAUACGGCCGGGGCGUUGCAUAACCCAAAUGGCAUUACCAGAUAUUCAUAGUGUCCACUAUGGGUAUUAAAUGCCGUCUUCAACUCAUGAUUCUCUUUAAUUCUAACCAAAUUGUAAGCGCUCCUCUAUCGAACAAUUCGGAAAUGAGUGGAAUAGGGUAUGCUUUUUUUACAGUGAUUUUAUUAAGUGCCCUGUAGUCUAUGCAAGGGCGUAACUCACCACCCUUUUUCUCAACAAAAAAGAAUCCUGCACCAGCUGGUGAGGAUGACUUUCUUAUGUGCCCUUUGCUCAAGGAUUCUUUGAUGUAUUCCUCCAUUAUUUUACUCUCCUGGGGAGAUAAGGCAUAAACUGCCCCCUUAGGUGGCAUAGCGCCUGGAAACAGGUUAAUGGCACAGUCAUAUGCUCUGUGGGGAGGCAAUACAUCGGAUUGAGCCUUGUUAAACACCUCCUGAAGUUCUCGGUAUUGUAUGGGAACUCCAGGAGUUUGGGGAGUGGUAGUGGGAAGGUCAAUAGUAUCCAAUCUCUUUAGUACUGGUUUUAUACAUCUCCCCAUACACUCUUUACCCCAUUCUAAUAUCUCCCCAUUAGCCCAGUCAAUAUAGGGAUUGUGCUUACUCAGCCACGGAAACCCUAAUAUGAUAGGACAUGAUGGAGAAGUAAUAACCUGAAACGUCAUCUCCUCCCUAUGGGAGGCCCCAAUGGAGAUCGUAAUAGGGACAGUUUCGUGGGUUAUAAGCGGUUGUGUGAGUGGUCUACCAUCAAUAGCCUCUACAGCUAGCGGCGUAGGUCUCUCCCUGACCGGUAUCUCAUUACCCCUAAUAAACUGGACAUCAAUAAAAUUUCCAGCAGCACCUGAGUCCAUUAGGGCACUGCAAGAAAACUUCUUGUUAUCAAGGGAAAUAGAUACCUCAAGGAGGAAUCUACUUUUGUUUUUGUUAGAGGACAACUCCAUCACACCUAAGAUCUGUCCCCUUAAGGUUCUUAGGUGCGGAAGUUUUCCGGACGCACUGGACAAUUAGUUAUCAUAUGUCCCUUUCUACUGCAAUAUAGGCAUAACCCCUCCCUUCUCCUAUACUGUUUUUCGGCCUCUGACAGUCUAGUGACCCCCAACUGCAUAGGUUCGGGUUCGGACUGUACAGGGAGGUUAGACAAAACAGGUUUAGAGAAUUGAGGUGCUAGGGACAUAGCCGUACGUCUGGUCUUGCUUCUGGUGACUUCUCUGAGUCUUAACCUAUUAUCAAUAUGCAUGACAAACGUAAUAAAUUCGUUAAGACUCUUAGGUAAUUAUUUAGCGGCUAUCUCAUCUAGUAUAGUCUCUGAGAGACCCUUUUUGAAUGCUGAGAUUAACCCAUUGUUAGUCCAGUCUACCUCGGAAGCUAAGGUACGGAAUUCAAUAGCAUAAUCCGAGAUAGACCGGUUACCUUGUCUGAUGUGCAUUAGGGCAGUGGCCCAAUGGCUCAAACGUGAGCUUGAAUUCGGCAAGGAAUUCCUGGUAAUUAUGAGCUAUGCUCUGAUUACUCUCCCACAACGGAUUAGCCCAGGCAAGGGCCUUGCCCUUUAAUUGAUUCAUUAGAUAACCAAUUCUUGCUCUGUCCGUGGGGAAUGACCCUGGUGAGGCCUCAAAAUGGUACUCCACCUGAUUAAGAAAACCCCUGCAUUCCUGGAUAUUGCCAUCAAACUGUAGGGAUGGUGAUAAGGAGAUGCAAGGAGUCCUAUUAACAGUGGGUGGAGGUACACAGGGUAGAGGUGCUAUAGGAGGAGACGCUGCAGGCUGCAGAUGCUCCGUUCUAGCGAGAAGCGUACUUAAAGCCUGAGUGAAUUGAUCCAUGCGGUGAUCAUUCUCCUCUAAUUUCCUCUCGCAAGCAGCUAUGUGCUGACACAGUUCUACAGGAUCUAUGGCCAUGUCGUAAUGUCAGGAUUACUGUUUGAUCCAGCACGUAGAACUGUACAGCACGGAUGACAAAUAAGUAACAUAUUACCGGUCCUUAGAAUGGCCGGAUUUAACGUACAAAGAAUAGUCAAAAAUACUAGCUGAGGUCAGGGAACACAGAAAGGGACACAGCGAUGAGGAAAGCCAGGAGUCAGGAUACCAGAAUAUAGAGAAGUCAAUAAACAAAGCCAAAGUCAAAAACCAGGUAGAAAACUAUAAACAGGAACGCGCUCUCAGACAACCACAAGGGAAACCACGACAGGGCACUGAGCAGGCUGAGAACUGGGCCUAAAUACCCCUCCUUUAGUUCUGAUAGGCUGUAACCGGCCUUUGACCCCAAAGUCAGUUACCAGGUUUCAUUUGCAUAAUUGCUGCUCAGCAUUAACCCUUCUGUGGAUUAGGUUGCUGCUCGGCACAACUUUUCCUGUGUGGACAGUAAAUGUCAUUAAUCACUUUUCUCUAAGCGGAUGAAUACAUGACACCAGGUUUCAUUUGCACAAUUACUGCUCAGCAUUAACCCUUCUGUGGAUUAGGUUGCUGCUCGACACAACUUUUCCUGUGUGGACAGUAAAUGUCAUUAACCACAUUUCUAUAAGCGGAUGAAUAUGUGAUACUAAGUCCUGGUUCACUACAGUUCGAAAAACACUCACCACAUUUAUUUGGGCUAACAAACCUCCAUGAGUAUCAUACUCAUUACUCACAAAACCAAAGGACAGGGGUGGCCUGGGUCUGCCAGAUGUUGAAACAUACCAUAACGCAAUACUGCUAACCAGAAUAUAUGACUGGACACUCCCACAACCCAGGAAACAAUGGGUGAACUUAGAGGACACCUUUUUCAGAGCACCUAUUUACACGAUACCCUGGCACAAAUCAGGGCAGGUAUUCAUGCUCCACAACCCACAUCCCACAAUUACACCGACUCUCCGCAUGUGGGCAACCCUACGCACGCACGAACUAAUGUCACCUUACCCAUCACCACUAUACCCGCUCACACACAACCCCCUAUUCCAGCCAGGAGUAGAUGGCAAAUCUUUCCAGUCCUUCCAUAAGACGCCAUACCUUACAUUAGGGGAUACCAUGACAACUGUCGGGUCGAGAGUAAUAAAAUCUCUACAGGCAUUCAUAGAUGAUCCCACGACUAUGCAACAAUACCAAUAUAGGCAACUAACACACUUUAUUCAAUCAAAACUACUAACACACAAUGCCAACCGAGAACAGACUAAUUUCGAAAAAUGCCGUUCCCUCCAAUCCAUAAAAACAAAACACAUCUCGACAAUGUACUCCCAGGUCCUCUCCACGAGACCCCAACAAUUGCCGGCCUUCACCACCACUUGGGAAAAAGAGUUAAACUUAACAAUACAGCCUGACAAAUGGAAAAAAAUCUUUAAACAAAUUCAUAAAUCCUCAAAAAACACAACAACGCAGGAAAGCAACUAUAAAAGAAUAGUGCGGUGGCACUACACCCCCUCGAAACUACACUCCCUAUUCCCUGCAACCUCCAAACAAUGCUGGCGCUUGCCAAUCAGCCGUGGGCACCACCUCGCAUAUUUGGUGGACAUGCCCAGUGAUACAAAAAUUCUGGACACGCAUAGCGUGCUUGGUCCACACCAUCCUUAAGAUAACCGUUCCCCUAGACCCAGAUACAUACAUAUUCCUUCUAACCCCACACGGCUUACCGAAACACACGGCGGCCCUGCUCCUACACCUUAUAACAGCUACGAAACAGCUUAUCCCAGCCUUAUGGAAACAACCGAACCCCCCGACCAUUCGCGAAUGGCUAAAAAAAGUGGAAAAAAACAGAAGUCUAGAAGAAACAUGUUAUGCCCUUUCAAAUCAAUACCAACAAUACACAGAGAUCUGGUAUCCAUGGACCCAAUCCCUUCUACAGACCACCUAGAGACCGAGGUCACCUCCCCCCCCCCUCCCAGCAGCUCCAUCUCCCCCUGUCCCCCCCACCUGGGAAAAAAAAAAUUCCAGCUUAUAAGAACAUAGGGAUGUAGGAAAUGUACCAGAACUCCAAUACUACUAUCUCUACAUGUUCAACGCUAAGAUACACCCUCAUGUAUGUAUCCGUACUGUUGAUUACUUAACAAAUGUAACACCGAUGUCUUGUACCAUGUACCUUCUUAUACCUGUCAAACGUAUGUGACAAAACGUUGUACAAUAUACUGACCUUUAAUAAAAAAAAUUUAAAAAAAUGUGCAAACUUUUUCAUGCCAUUGUUUCGCUUGUUUGUAUGUGUACGCUGUUGUGCCGUUUUAACGCUGAUUUGUACUCACCUGCACUACAAAACUAAAAAAUUUUAAAACAAAAUAAACUGUAUGUCACUAUCAUAUAAAAACGAGACAAGCAUGUACCCUUUGAGAGCCAUCGAACUUCUAUGUGUAAAAGUAACCUAAUAAUCUGCUCGUUAUUGUCCUGGCACAGCUGUCGAAACAUUUUAUCACCUUUGGCAUUAGAUUUGAUCUUAUUUACAGCUUUAAUUAUUAUACUUAAUGAUGAAUGGAGACCUGUACUCAGGGCUGGCGCUACCUGUAAGGCGAACUAGGCAGCCGCCUAGGGCGCCGCUUGGGAAGGGGCGCCGCCAGGAGCGCCGGCCCCCCUCAUGCUGCAACCGCCCGAGCGCUCUGUAAAGAGCCUCAGGCGGCUGCAGCUUUUCCCGGGCGGUGCGUCCAUGAGGGCAGACCACACCGCCUGGGCACAGCCUGAGGAGAGGGGCUGACAGGAGCAUGGCCGAGCCCUGUAUAAUGGUCCGCGGGUACAGGGAGCAGCUGUCUCCUGUACCCGGCCGGACUAACAGGAAGUACACACUGAGUGUUCACUUCCUGUUAGUCCGGCCGGGUACAGGAAACAACAGCUCCCUGUACCGGUCGGACUAUACUGGGCUCGGCCACACUACCACACAGGUAGGGGAGGGAGGGGGAAGAAAAGAGAAACAGAGAGGGAGAGGGAGGGGAAAAAGGAGGAGGGAGGGAAAGAAAGCAGAGGGAGGAGGGAGGGAAGAAGCAGAGGGAGGGAGGGAAGAGAAAGAAACAGGGAGGGAGGGAGAAGAGGAAACAGGGAGGGAGGAAAGAAAGCAGGGGGAGGGAAAGAAGCGACAGGAGGGGGAGAAAGAAACGUGACAGGAGAGAGAGAAAAAAGAAGCAGCAGGGGGGAGUAGCGGGGAGAGAGUGACAGGGGAGGGAGCAGGGGGAGGGAGGGGAAGAGAGAGUGGCAAGGGAGGGAGAGAUUCAGCAUCUAUCACACACACAAUCACACACAAUGCACCCACCACACACAAAAGACAAUGAACACUUGCACACAGAAAAACACACAAUGCAUUACACACACACAAUGCAUUACACACACCACCUACACACACUCAAUGCAACGCACCCGCCAUCCCAGCUACACACACAACACAAUGCAUUCCUUACACACACUCAAUGCACCCCUUACACACACUCAAUGCACCCCUUACACAUGCACACACUGCAUCCUGUACAUACACAGAAACACCUUGCAGCCCUUACACAUACAAACACAGAUUCACACAAUGCAUUCCUUACACACAUAUCAGGACAUCCCCUACACACUCCACCCCCUGUGAACAAACUCAUUAGUGGAACAUGAAGGUGGACCCUGGGACCCAGACCUUGAGCUGUGUAAAGGGCCCCCAAAAACUGGAGCUGCUUCUCGUUCUCCCAGAACAUUGAUUUUUGUGACCACAGUUACAAACAGCCUCCAGAGAUCCUGUUAUACACCAGACCAGUGGAGCCAGACUGCAGCUAGAGCCCAUCAUCAUCCUCAUCUGGUUGUAAGUAGGCAAUCUAGUAUAUUAUUCGUGGCACUAUCUCUAAUUUACCUCACAUUAAAUGGACACUAUAGUCCCCAGAACCACUGCAGCUUAAUGUAGUGGUUCUGGUGUCUAUAGCCUGUCCCUGCAGGCCUUUUAAUGUAAACACAGCGGCACUGCAGCACUGCGCUUUACUAAGCGUUAGUGCUGCUUAGAUCAUAUAUAGGUAGAGGCAUUAGCAAUAUCCCUGCGAAAGUAAACUUUACACACACACACCUAAAGCAAAAAUCACCCCACACACACGCCACCCAUCUUUCCACAACCUUAUUUCUGUACGCAACACAAUGAACACAAAUCAUUUAGCACUUUUCCCUUCAGUAGCCAAAGUAGCACAUACAACAAUAUUAUUCAAAGAGUGUAUUAUUUUACAAAGUACUUAAUUUCCACGCAUUUAAAUAACUAAACCAAAAUCCUUUUGUAUCCUAUAAUCAAAUUGUCAGUAAAAUAACAUUUCUUACUUACAAUGCUUAUUGUUUUUUCAUCAAAGGUACCACUUAAAUAUCAUCAGUAAAUCACAUUGUAUCUACAAUGAGAGACUCAUCCAAUUGUAUAGAAAAUUAAUUUUGGAGAAUACCUAUAAGUUUAUUUUCAACAUUAGCCGCCAUUUCGUCAAUGCGUCUCUUUACUGUGUUAUCGCUAAGGGGCAAUGUUUUUAAAACUUCAGGUAUAUCCUGAUGCAUUACUGUUGAGAUAAAUUCUUUGAUAGAGAGUAUUAUCAAAGUUUCUCCAAUAUUAUGGAUUUUACCACUUUUUGCAAUUAAGUGUGAUAUACGAUAAGUUGCAGUUAAAGGACCACUAUAUGCACCCAGACCACUGGAAUGCCAGAUCCAGCUAAGAUUAACCCUUUUUUCUAUAAACAUAGCAGUGUCUGUUCUCAUUGACAGCCGCUAGAGGGCUUCCGCGCUUCUCACUGUGAUUUUUCACAGUGAGAAGACGCCAGCGUACAUUUCAUUUUCCUUCGUUAUGGCAUUGAGAAUGCUUUCCUAUGGACUGGCUGAAUGCGCGCUCCUGCCACGCAUGCGCAUUCAGCCGAGGAGGAGUGGAGGAGGAGAGUCCCCUGCCCGGCGCUGGAGAAAGAGGUAAGUUUAACCCCUUCCUCACCCUAGAGCCCGGCGGGAGGGGGACCCUGAGGGUGGGGGCACCAGAUUAAGAGCCCAGUGGGCCUGGUGCUGACAAUUAUAACGUGCCUAAUUACAGAAUCAUAUCUACCAAAAACAGUGAAACACUCCCAAGCCUCAUGUAUCUGAUGGAGAUGGUGCUGGAGAGAAAGAAAACAGCAGCUAUAAUAAAACACAUACCCUAGGCUAAUCUCUCAAUAAUUUAUGUUUUCAUCUUUCAAGUAAAUCCAUAACCCCUAACAGCAGUGUCCAGUCAAGCAGGAAGUCAAUGGGCAUGGUAAAAGGGUGUGCCACUGACACAAAUCAAGUAACCUGCCAAAAGGGGUAAACAUGCCCAAAAAGAGGAUAUGUCUGCCCAAAGAAUUAGAAGGCCAGUCUGGUAUGCAGCUGGCCAACUAAGGGCAUACUAUGCAGACAGCACCCUGAGCUUGGCAUAAAUGCAUCUAAUGAUGCGCUCGCUCAACGCUUUCUAAGGACUGUUCCUUAGCACUCGCUGGUCCUCUUUGUCACUUGUCUCCUUACCUUCUUACUAGCAGGCAGAAGCUCCUGGUAUAUAGUCUGGGACAGAGAAAAGCUGUAUGUAGUGAGUGUAGAAGAAAGGGAACAUGCCACAGUGUUAGAGAGACCAAAGUCAGUAUUACCUUAAAGGAUCACUAUAGGGUCAGGAACACAAACAUGAAUUCAUGACCCUAUAGUGUUAACACCACCAUCUAGCCCCCCUGGGCCCCUCAUGCCUCCAUAAAUAUAGCAACAUCUUACUGUAUGCAAGCCUGAAGCUGUAACUCUGCAUGCUGUUAGACUCAGAAAAACAAGCAGUCUGCUGACAUCAUUAGAAGUGGUGGCCUAAUCCAAUCAUAGUGCUUCCCCAUAGGAUUGGCUGAGACUGACAAAGAGGCAGAUCAGGGGCAGAGCCAGCAUGAUUCAAACACAGCCCUGGCCAAUCAGUAUCUCCUCAUAGAGAUGAAUUGAAUCAAUGAAUCUCUAUGAGGAAAGUUCAGUGUCUGCAUGCAGAGGGAGGAGACACUGAAUGUUUGGAUGCAUUUUAGGCAGCCAUGACCCAGGAAGGAUCUCGAACAGCCAUCUGAGGAGUGGCCAGUGAAGUUAUCACUAGGCUGUAAUGUAAACACUGCAUUUUCUCUGAAAAGACAGUGUUUACAGCAAAAGCCUGAAGGUAAUGAUUCUACUCACCAGAACAAAUUCAAUAAGCUGUAGUUGUUCUGGUGACUCUAGUGUCCCUUUAACUAUAUUCAUUGUCAACCAGUCCACACAAGUUUUGUUCCCAUACAUCCCUCUUAAGUUUCCAUACUUAAAUAAGAGUAUGUGAAAAGUAGUUAGGGUUGCCACCUUUCUUGGAAAAACAUACCGGCCUUGCUAAUUUGCAUAAUUAAAUAUGUAUGGGUGACAUCACAUGAUAUAAAUCACAAGGAGUGACAUAAGAGAAAAUGCUGUAAAAUCACCAAAAAACUACUUAGUUUGAUUCUGCUGUAUAGAUGGAUUCCUCCCAGUGGCCCCAUGUCUCCCAGUGCCACCAUGUGUCGAUUACUCCAGGUCUCAGUGUUCCUAUGUAUCAGUGUCUCAGUGCCCCAUGUCUCUCAGUGUCACCUAGUGUUGUGUCCCCAGGUCUCCCAGUGAUCCUAUGUAUCACAGUGUCUCAAUGCCCCAUGUCUCCCUGUGUCCCCAUGUAUCCCAGGGUCCCUAUGUCACUAGGAAGACGGGAAGACCUGGGGACACGGGGAGACCUAGGGACACGGAGACACCAGUGACACUGGGAGACUAGGGGACUCUGGCUGGGACGCAUGGGGACACUGGGAAAAUAGGGGACACUUGAAGACAUGGGGACACAGACACAAGGGACACAGACACUAGAGACACUGACUGGGGGACAUGGGGACAUUGAGACACGGGGGCACUGGGAGACAUGGGGACAAGAAGACACCAGCGCCACAGACACUAGGGACACUAGCUUGGAGACAUUGAGACACUUGAGGAACUGGGAGACAUGGAGGCACUAGGAGACAUGGUGACAAUGAGACACUGGCAGACUGGGGGCACUGGGAGACUAGGGGGCACUGAGACACCAGGGACACUGACUGGGAGAUAUGGGGACACUGUGUCCCCAUGUGUCUGUGUCAUAAUGUCUCCCAGUUCCCCUUAGUGUCUCAGUGUCCCCAUGUCUCCUUGCAGCCUUUCCCCCCCAUCCCUUACUUCCCUGAACUGUAGGCUGUCUCUGCAGGGUGGGAGCUGCUGUCUGAACUCUCUGUGCUGUGUAGCUGCACCCCUGCAGAUCAGUGAGUAUAGGUAGGCAGGGAGGGAUAUGCUGGAACUUCCUAACCCUGCCUCUCUUCACACACAGCGACCCCUACUGGCCAGUGGGGGUAUUGCAUAGUAAUCUCCAUUUAUACUGAGAAAAAUACCAGCAUUUGUAUUGCCAGUAUCACUGCAAUAUUGGCACCAGCCAGGCAGCCUCAAAUACUGGCUGUGCCAAUCAAAUAAAAGCCAGGUGGAAUCCCUAAGAGUAGUGUGUGAAAAAAAAAUGUAAAAAAAAAAUUUUUUUUUUUUUUUUUUUAUAAAUCAAUGGGCCUAGUCCAUGGGCCUGGGCCUGGAGCUGCAGCUCCAUCAGCCCCUAUGUUAAUCCGGCACUGGUGCCAGGAAAACUGUUUUCCUGGCACUAUAGUGGUCCUUUUAAUCCAUCCUCAUUCUUUGCAUGUUGUUUUUGAAAUGAUGCAGCUAUUGUUGAACGAUUUUGAAAUCUUUUAUAGAUUUCUUGAAAAUAUUCAAUGGGCUUAUCUUUAUCUUGUGAAUGCUUUGUAGCAAGAUGUUCUCGCAAUCGACUUGGCUUUAUUGCUUCAUUAGAUAAUGUCUUGUAAACACAUUGGAAGCUGUUUAUUUGAAAGAAAUUUUAUGAAACCCAUCUUCAGACAUUCUGGUAAAUAGCCACGAGCAUAUUUCUUUUUUCGGACAUGGGUUCUAAAUUUGUUGCACAAUUUAAUAACUACUUUUACUCUUACCACAUUUUGAUCUGCACUCCACACAGUGUUUUUUUUUUGUCCCCCCUCUUUUCCCUUUUAUUAAAGGACCACUAUAGUGCCAGGAAAACAUACUCGUUUUCCUGGCACUAUAGUGCCGUGAGGGUGCCCCCACCCUCAGGGUCCCCCUCCCGCCCGGCUCUGGAAGGGGGAAAGGGGUUAAAACUUACCUUUUUCCAGCGCUGGGCGGGGAGCUCUCCUCCUCCGAUCCUCCUCUUCUCCUCCCAUGCGGCUGAAUGCGCACGCGCGGCAAGAGCUGCGCGUGCAUUCAGCCGGUCACAUAGGAAAGCAUUCAUAAUGCUUUCCUAUGGACGCUGGCGUGCUCUCACUGUGAAAAUCACAGUGAGAAGCAUGCAAGCGCCUCUAGCGGCUGUCAAUGAGACAGCCGCUAGAGGAAAUAGGGGAAGGCUUAACCCAUUCAUAAACAUAGCAGUUUCUCUGAAACUGCUAUGUUUAUGAAAAAAUGGGUUAACCCUAGCUGGACCUGGCACCCAUACCACUUCAUUAAUCUGAAGUGGUCUGGGUGCCUAGAGUGGUUAUUUAACUGUUUUAUAAACAGUGCUCUAUUAGGUGCCAAUUUUUAUUACAUGUCACCAUAAAUAAAAAUUCCCCUUGUUUUUCUACUUUUCCUGCCUUCUUCUUUACCUUCCUUAUAUUAUAUCAAUAUAUCAGGGGUCUCUUUUUCUUUUUCUCUUUAUUCUCUCCUUCUUUUAUUUUAUAAGAUAACAAAAUGUAACUUGCCAAAACAUGAGCAACUCUAAACACUGCUUUCUCUCCUCCUUUAUUGUAUCACCCUUUUUUUUUUUUUUCUUCAUUAUGGCAAUGCCCAAAAGUAAGGCUGAGAUAGUUAGCCCACUUAUUAUUAGCCAACAACAAUUCUCUCCUUCUCCUGCCUAUUACUUUUCUUUCUCUUUCACAAGUGCUCUGCUCUGCUUCUGCCUGUCCUUGCCCGAUAGCAUCAGCUCCCCUUCCUCUUCCCACGUGUUAAACUUGCUCGUGUUGGUAUGCUUUGCGCAUGCACACGUUCUCUUGUUCGCGCAUACGUGUUUUCAUGCUUGCACGAGUUUGAGCGUAUUCUUACAUGUUCGUGCUUUCAUGUGCACUCGAUGGAAAGAGCAUUCUGCUUGUAGUGCCCACAUGAAAUCCUGAAAUGCCCACUAAUAAGCAGUAGGGACCAGGUUGACGACCCCUGCUUUUCAGAGAUGCUAGUGGAUGCAUGGAAUAGCCUUCCAGCUGAGGUGGUGGAGGUUAACACAGUGAGGGAGUUUAAGCAUGUGUGGGUUAGGCAUAUGGUUAUCCUAGCUAUAAGAUAAGGCCAGGGACAAAGUAAAGUAUUUAGAAAAUUGGGCAGACUAGAUGGACCGAAUGGUUCUUAUCUGCCGUCACAUUUUAUGUUUCUAUGACAUCACUGAAAACAAAGUGUUUUAAAACAGUAAAAUGUAUGACAAGUAUAUCUUUGGUGAAAAGGCAUUUUUAUUUUGGUCAAAAAUGCAAAAACAAAUAUGAACACUGACUUUGGCAAGGGUUUGUGAUUAAGUGGCUACUAAAAUAGACUGGACAUACCCCGAUUUGAAUACCUUGGGCUGUCUACUUUUGCAAAUGGUAUGCCAUGAUGGGGAUAAUUCUCAUUCCUAGGUUGACAUACGGUCUCAGAGGCAACAUAGGCCCAGCAAACCAAUUUGGCAAAUUAAAAUGUGUAUAAACUGAAAUAUGAAAGCUUUUUAUUUGACCCUGUAACUUUCCAAAAUACCAUGAAACCUAAACAUGGUUGGCAUCUUUGUACUUGUAGGACAUCGCUGAACACAAAUAUGUGUAUGUUAUUGCAGUAAUCAGUAUUAUGGCAUUCACAGUUAAAAUGAAAUACCGAACUUUUUUGUAUUUUUUUUUUUUUUAUAGAUUUUAUUCAUAUUACAUAGUGUUCCAUUUCUAAAUAUUUGAUGUGACUGAAAGCUGUGCUUCUCGUGAACAAAAUUAUAUAUAAUAAAUAUGGGUGCACUUAGUAUGAAAAUUGAGUAAAAGGAGGAGGUUCCAUGGCAAGACAAACCUCUCCAUGCAAUGUACCACCAGCAGAUAGUGGAUGUCACUCACAUGGCAACAUCUUACCAAUGGUUGUAAAAGGCAGGACUAGGCAUUAAUCAUAGAAGCAAAGGGACAGGCACUCCAUACCAGAUCAAUAGAAGCAGGUAUCUACCACAACAGGCAAGACCCAAGGUGCAGACUGUGCAAAGGCCUCUGAGACAGUUCAGCACAUAGUGGCCAGUUGCAAGAUGUUAGCAGCAUACACGGAGAGAGAGACACAACCAAGUUGCUGGGCUUGUAUAUCGAAACAUCCGCACAGAAUAUUGGUUGGAUCUGCCUAAGUCCAGAUGGGAGAUACCACAAAGGGUAGUUGAGAAUGACAGGGCUAACAUAAUGUUUGACUUUCAGAUCCAGAUGGACAAGCAAGUGCUGGCCAACCAACCUGACAUCAUGGUGGUAGAUCAGGAAUGGAAGACUGCAGUAGUGUCGGAUGUGGCAAUACCAUGUGGCGAUAACAUCAGGAAGAAGUAACAUGAGAAGAUGGACAAAUAACAAGGACUGAAAGAAGAGCUAGAAAGGAUGUAGAAAGUGAAAACAAUCGUAGUCCCAGUUGUGAUAGGAGCACUCUAAGCUAUGACUCCCAAGUUGGGGAAGUGGCUUCAACAGAUUCCAG